rnacentral:lncRNA from 1 species
UUUUUUUCUUUAGGUCGUUCUCCCAGAGUCUCCACAACUCCUUUCCGACACACACCGAUCGAUAAACCUCUCCAGCGAUGCCUGCCUACAACAUUCACACGCACCUUCCAUCUCCUCCUUUAUGUGUCCUUGCCUCGUGUCUCUCAUAUGGUCCCACACACGUGUAAACUCUCACCCCUCUUUUCAUCGAUCUCACAACCGCACACUCCUCCCCCUAUCUAGCUAGUAGCUGGGCCUCUCGCACCACCUCCUAGCUCCAUUCUCUCUGUCUAUCCGUCUCGUUGGGCCUUAUUUGCCUCUAACAAUGGACGUACACCGAUUGAUCUCCCGCUAUACAUAUAGCUAGCUAGGUCCUUAUAACUCAUUUUUACCCACGCGCUGAUUGAUCUACCUCAUUAGUUAUGUCUCUCCCUUCCUCCGACAAACAACAAUUGAUCUACCGAUGUAGUUAGGUUUGCUUACCAAACACAUGGUUCCCCUUCAUCAUCCAUGGAUGCGUCCCAACAGAUCUAUCAUGCAUAGACACACACAGAAACACAUCCCCACUCUUAUUGAUAACAUUGCAGUUCCACCCUCAGUUUGUCUAGUAGGCCUCUCCCACCAUCUUUGAGAAGCAACUCCAUCACCCAUCCAACACUCUACCCCUAUCCCUCCCUCUCUCUCCUCUCUCUCUCUCUCUGUCCCAUCAUAUUUCCCGUCCUCCACUUAUGUAUGGAUGUCGGCCGAUCUCCCUCAAGACAUAGUUGGGUCUCUCCUUCUCAACACAUAUACGAGUCAUUNNNNNNNNNNNNNNNNNNNNNNNNNNNNNNNNNNNNNNNNNNNNNNNNNNNNNNNNNNNNNNNNNNNNNNNNNNNNNNNNNNNNNNNNNNNNNNNNNNNNNNNNNNNNNNNNNNNNNNNNNNNNNNNNNNNNNNNNNNNNNNNNNNNNNNNNNNNNNNNNNNNNNNNNNNNNNNNNNNNNNNNNNNNNNNNNNNNNNNNNNNNNNNNNNNNNNNNNNNNNNNNNNNNNNNNNNNNNNNNNNNNNNNNNNNNNNNNNNNNNNNNNNNNNNNNNNNNNNNNNNNNNNNNNNNNNNNNNNNNNNNNNNNNNNNNNNNNNNNNNNNNNNNNNNNNNNNNNNNNNNNNNNNNNNNNNNAUGUGCCCUCUGACGUUCAGAUAGGUCAGUCACCCUAUAUCAUUGGGACAUUUACAUCUGUGCCCCUAACUUGAACACCAUACUCAGAUUUGCCCCUGAUUUUGAAGCAUGCUCAAAUUUACCCCUCCGCCGUUAAGUCACUACUCAGAAAUGCCCUUCCGUACAGUACUGUAGCACUUUCGGUCCAAUACUGUAGCACUUUCCGUCUGCUACAGUACACAUGGGCCUUUGACGGUCAAAGGCCUUUGGCUGGACAGAAGGGCAUUUCUGAGUAGUGACUUAACGGCAGAGGGGUAAAUUUGAGCAUGCUUUGAAAUUAGGGGCAAAUCUGAGUAGGUGGUUCGAGUUAGGGGCAGAAAUGCAAAUGGCCCUAUAUCAUUGGCUUGCACACACACACAAUUUCGAUGGCUCUCUUCAUCGAUCUCGCACCCACCCACUUGAUCCUCUCUUCGACUCUACCGAUAUCUAUGACCCCUCCCUCUCUUCUCGUGGAUCGCCCGACCCUCUAUAUAUGAUAUGGUAGGCCUCCAUUUCACACACAUUGCAUGCAAAAUUUUGUUUGAGAUGUCAUCGACACAUAUUCCCACAAAUACAUUCACGAAAUCAAACCCACCCCCCACCCCAAAAAAACAAAAAACACUCAUGAACGCGGUUUGUAUCUCCCACACACACCCACUUAGGUGGGGGACGUGCACGAAGAGAAAAGGUGCAUCCACGGCGCACGUACUCCCGUCUUUCCCAACCACACCCGUGUGGGUACACUGUGGAGCUCAUUUCUGUACGAAAAGGCAGCCCACAUGGUAAUUUGGCACGUGUACUGGUUGUCCACUUGGUGGAGGGAGGAUCGUCUACCACGGGUGAACAAACAAAUUGCGACUUGACACGUUAUGUUAAAAAAAGAGGCAAACCAUGUGGGGCCAACCUUAGAGGCAAGGCUCUAUACACUCCAGUAAUUUUGAUGUAUCCCGUCAACUCACAGAACGAGCAGAAGCUUGCUUAGUAUGUCGUCUCCCCCGCCCACAGGCGCAGUGGCUCACAGGAUGAGGUGAAGCUUAGUACUGUACGCCUUACGCCCGCUCCCUCGCCCAUGCGCGCGGUGGCUCGCAGGACCAGGAGAAAAAUUUACUACUCCUUCUGUUUACUCCUCGUCCCUACUACCUUGGUUAUAGAUAUUAUCAUAUUGUUUGGAAUAUAUAUGUCCUUUAGUAGAUUUCAAUAUGAACUACUAGUACAUACUUCAAACAUAGAUGUAUAUAGACGUAUUUUAGAGUGUAGAUUCACUCAUUUUUCUCCAUAUGUACCACUCUCCCUCGCCCCUCGACCCUCGCCCACGUGGUGGACGUGCAACAAUUCAUUUGGUCUCAUAUAGCCAGAACGAUAUAUACUGCACUACCAUUAUUGCUUGACUUCCCGAAGAGGCGAAGAGCCAAUCACAAGGUUAAUAUUUUGGAGAUGCCAAGUGCAAGGUUAUAGGAGAACGAGUAGUAGGUGCCGCAUCAUUUAUAAAUAAAGUUUUUUUUCUUCAGUGGCACGUACGCAAUAUGAUAGGUUCAUAUGGAGAGAAAAGGAAACCGCUCCACUAUAUAUAUAGUUAGGACAGGCUAGCCUACACGGUUGCUUGUUGGGCUUGCUCUCUUCACACUCUCUCACACAAAACGAUUGUGGCCACAUCUCUAACAUCCCUGCAGAUCACGUCCGCCAGGGGAAGGGGUGGAUGCUUAGUGUAGAUGCGGUCACCAUCGCCGACGGGGAAAACCCACUAUCGGCACGUCCCAAUCAGGGGUCCCCGCCAUUCUCUCUCACAAAGCCGGUGAGGUUGCCUUCGUCCCUUGCUCACUGCCGCGACGUGGGCAGCUGCCGCCUCCCGCCGCCCUCCUCGAGGUUGAGCUACGUCCCGACAUCCCUCAGGUACAACUCCCUUUAUAGCCGGCUUGCACCACUGCUCCAACUGCCCACAUCACUCCAUGUGGAUAUUUCUCUACUUCUUUGCCCCGCACAUACCUCUACUGGCUUCUACAUACUGUAUUUGUGAUGAGUUUAUGUCUCAUCAACUAGUACCAGUAAUCUUAUUCUAAUCACGCUUCUUCAAUUUCUUUGCCACAAGGAUGCUCAUCUCGAUUUUGGUGAAAUUGCACAAAAUGAUCUGAUGGUCAAAAGGUUGCAAACUUCAUUUCUUAGGGAACUCGAACGUUGCCCGCAAAUUGAAGCCUGGUUAGGGUUCACGGUUCAAGGGCUAGGGACUGCAUGUAUCUUUUUUUCUUUAGCUGCCUUUGUUGCAAAAUAAGUGUCAACUUUAGUAGUAGUACAACUUUGUACUAAAGUUUGCAUAAAGUUGAGACACUUAUUUUGGAACGGAGGGAGUACAUAUUUGCUAUGAUCUGUCAAUCAUUGAGAUGCAAUAGCAUGCAUGUUAGUCUCCUUUGUAUUUGAUGAAAUAUUGGAACGGGCAACCUUGGACGCAAGAUACAUGUAACAGAAGCUAGAAGCUUCAUAGCAUUGUACAAAUUUAUCUCGCUGAUAAAUUACAGUACGUACUAUACUAGUACUUCCUCCGUUCCUAAAUAUAAGUCUUUGUAGAGAUUUCACCAUGAACCACAUGUGGAUGUAUAUAGAUGCAUUUUAAGUGUAGAUUCAUUCAUUUUGUUCCGUAUGUAGUUCACCUAGUGGAAUCUCUACAAAGACUUAUGUACUAGUAAUACCUAGCCCCGACUACUAGGAAUUCUCUAUCCUCUCCUUGAGCCACAUCAUCAAAAUUAAUCUAGCCGUUAGAUGAACUAAAUCAGUCCAUAAUAGCCGUCUGAUCUAGACAUUGAGAGGCUCCGCACUAAGCCACAUGCAAGCAUGCAGAAAUACAGUGGCAUGCAUGUGAGUGGGUUUUAAAUCACAUUAACAUGUCUGCAUGCAAGCAUGCACCGGUAGCAUGCAUGUAAGUGAGCUUUUAAGUCCCAUUAACAUGUCAAAAAGAAAAAUAUAAUCCCAUUAAGCAGUAGGAGUUGGUUGCUCUUUUUCCUUACGUGGGAUGACCUAAAUGAUGAUGGGAGUUUUUUUAGUUUGGCUACCACAUUUGUCAUGCGGUUAUAGAGUUUUUUUUAGUUCUAUGAAAUCGAUAAUUCUACGCAGAGAGAUGUAUGGCUGUUCCGCGGCAACGCGCAGGGACUCAUCUAGUGUUUAGGAAUGGAGGGAGUACUAUGAAAAGAGUUAGGUGUCGCAUGAUGUCCAGAAAAUAUGGUGAUAGUGUGAGGUGGGCCAUGUAAUCACUGAGCCUGUGUGUUUUCACUGCUCUUGCACUCCUCCACUAUAAGAAUGGAGAAAAUUGUAAUCUAGUAGUACCUCCUUUCGCCGAAAGCAUGGGACAUCUAGUAGUCCUACCACCUCAGUAAUAAAGACCAAUGAGUUGUCAAAUCACAUAGACCCAGCAGUAAGUUGGACGGACAAAGCAACCAUCACUCUUGAAACCGCUUCUCCCUUCAACGCAGGCGCCAGUGAGAGGUCGCGUCCGCUCUGCCUGGGCAUGAAUGCGGCACCAAUUCUUUGGUGCGGCACUGACCGUUUCGGGAGGGAAGUGCAUGCGGGCAAUGGAGGGGCUUUGGGUGGGCCAGGCUGAUCAGGAGCGGGCAUGGCAGUGCUACGUCUUGAGCUUGCGUUGGUUUUCCUUGAAGAGGAAGGGUGAUGCAGCAAUAGUAGCGUAAGUAUUUCCCUCAGUUUUUGAGAACCAAAGUAUCAAUCCAGUAGGAGGCUCCUCAAAAGUCCCACGCACCUACACAAACAAACAAGAACUCGCAACCAACGCAAUAAAGGAGUUGUCAAUCCCUUCACGACCACUUGCGGAAGUGAGAUCUGAUAGAGAUAUUAUGAUAAGAUAAAUAUAUUUUUGGUAUUUUAUGAUAUAGAUUGGAAAAGUAAAGAUGCAAAUAAAAGUAGAUUGAAAGCUUAUAUGAUAAAAGAUAGACCCGGGGGCCAUAGGUUUCACUAGUGGCUUCUCUCAAGAUAGCAUAAGUAUCAUGGAGGGUGAACAAAUUAAUGUCGAGCAAUUGAUAGAAAAGCAAAUAAUUAUGAGAUUAUCUAGGCAUGAUCAUGUAUAUAGGCAUCACGUCCGUGACAAGUAGACCGACUCCUGCCUGCAUCUACUACUAUUACUCCACACAUCGACCACUAUCCAGCAUGCAUCUAGAGUAUUAAGUUCAUAAAGAACAGAGUAACACAUUAAGAAAGAUGACAUGAUGUAGAGGGAUAAACUCAUGCAAUAUGAUAUAAACCCCAUCUUUUUAUCCUCGAUGGCAACAAUACAAUACGUGCCUUGCUGCCCCUGCUGUCACUAGGAAAGGACACCACAAGAUUGAACCCAAAGCUAAGCACUUCUCCCAUUGCAAGAAAGAUCAAUCUAGUAGGCCAAACCAAACUGAUAAUUCGAAGAGACUUGCAAAGAUAACUUAAUCACACAUAAAAGAAUUUAGAGGAGAUUCAAAUAUUUCUCAUAGAUAAACUUGAUCGUAGACCCACAAUUCAUUGGAUCUCGACAAACACACCGCAAAAAGAGUUACAUCGAAUAGAUCUCCAAGAAGAUCAAGGAGAACUUGGUAUUGAGAUUCAAAGAGAGAGAAGAAGCCAUCUAGAUAAUAACUAUGGACCCGAAGGUCUGUGGUAAACUACUCACAACUCAUCGGAGAGGCCUUGCAGAUGAUGUAGAGGCCCUCCAUGGUCGAUUCCCCCUCCGGUAGAGUGCCGGCGAAGUCUCCAAGAUGGGAUCUCACGGAUACAGAAGGUUGUGACGGUGGAAUUAGGUUUUCGUUGGCUCUCCUAAUGUUCUCGGGGUACAUGGAUAUAUAUAGGAGGAAGAAGUAGGUCGGUGGACGCCCGAGGGGCCCACGAGAUAGGGGCACGCCCUCCACCCUCGUGGUCGCCUCGGCUGUUGCUUGACUUCCACUCCAAGUCCUCUGGAUCAUGUUCGUUCCAAAAAUCACGCUCCCGAAGGUUUCAUCCCGUUUGGACCCGUUUGAUAUUCCUUUUCUUCAAAACACUGAAAUAGGCAAAAAAACAGCAAUACGGGCUGGGCCUCCGGUUAGUAGGUUAGUCCCAAAAAUGAUAUAAAUGUGUAAAGUAAAGCCCAUAAACAUCCAAAAAUGGGUAAUAUAAUAGCAUGGAACAAAAAAAAUUAUAGAUACGUUGGAGACGUAUCAAGCAUCCCCAAGCUUCAUUCCUGCUCGUCCUCAAGUAGGUAAAUGAUAAAAACAGAAUUUUUGAUGUGGAAUGCUACCUAGCAUAAUUCUCAAUGUAAUUUUCUUUAUUGUGGCAUGAAUGUUCAGAUCCAAAUGAUUCAAAAUAAAAGUAUAUUGACAUAAGAAAUAAUAAUACUUCAAGCAUAUUAAUCAAGCAAUCAUGUCUUCUCAAAAUAACAUGGCUAAAGAUAGUUAUCCCUACAAAAUCAUAUAGUCUGGAUGUUGCUCUAUUUUCAUCAAACAAAGUAUUUAAUCAUGCACAACCCCGAUGACAAGACAAGCAAUUAUUUCAUACUUUAGUAAUCUCAAACUUUUUCAACUUUCACGCAAUACAUGAGUGUGAGCCAUGGACAUAGCACUAUAAGUGGAAUAGAUUGGUGGUUGUGGAGAAGACAAAAAAGGAGGAAGAUAGUCUCACAUCAACUAGGAGUAUCAACGGGCUAUGGAGAUGCCCAUUAAUAUAUAUCAAUGUGAGUGGGUAGGGAUUGCCAUGCAACGGAUGCACUAGAGCUAUAAAUGUAUGAAAGCUCAACAAAAGAAACUAAGUGGGUGUGCAUCCAACUCGCUUGCUCAUGAAGACAUAGGGCAUUUUGAGGAAGCCCAUCAUUGGAAUAUACAAGCCAAGUUCUAUAAUGAAAAAAUCCCGCUAGUAUAUGAAAAUGACAACAUAGGAGACUCUCUAUCAUGAAGAUCAUGGUGCUACUUUGAAGCACAAGUGUGGUAAAAAGGAUAGUAGCAUUGUCCCUUCUCUCUUUUUCUCUCAUAUUUUUGUUUGGCCUUUCUAUUUUUUUGGCCCUUUUUUUAAGUCCAAAGUCUUAUCCCGACUUGUGUGGGAAUCAUAGUCUCCAUCAUCCUUUCCUCACUGGGACAAUGCUCUAAUAAUGAAGAUCAUCACACUUUUAUUUACUUACAACUCAAGAUUACAACUCAACACUUAGAACAAGAUAUGACUCUAUAUGAAUGCCUCCGGCGAUGUACUGGGAUAUGCAAUGAAUCAAGAGUGACAUGUAUGAAAAUUAUGAAGGUGGCCUUGCCACAAAUACGAUGUCAACUACAUGAUCAUGCAAAGAGCAAUAUGAAAAUGAUGAAGCGUGUCAUAUAAACGGAAUGGUGGAAAGUUGCAUGACAAUAUAUCUCGGAAUGGCUAUGGAAAUGACAUAAUAGGUAGGUGUGGUGGCUGUUUUGAGGAAGGUAUAUGGUGGGUGUAUGGUACCGCCGAAAGUUGUGCGGCACAAGAGAGGCUAGCAAUGGUGGAAGGGUGAGAGCUUGCGGAUGUGGGCGCGCGCCUUGAAGCUGAGGGCCUACGGCUGAUUAAGGAGCGAUGCAAGCUGAAGGUGGCCAUCAACCUCGCGCGCCACCAGCGCGAGUGUCGGUGUUAAAACCGGCGGAUCUCGGGUAGGGGGUCCCGAACUGUGCGUCUAGGCGGAUGGUAACAGGAGACAAGGGACACGAUAUUUUUACCCAGGUUCGGGCCCUCUCGAUGGAGGUAAAACCCUACUCCUGCUUGAUUAAUAUUGAUGAUAUGGGUAGUACAAGAGUAGAUCUACCACGAGAUCAGAGAGGCUAAACCCUAUAAGCUAGCCUAUGGUAUGAUUGUUGUUCGUCCUACGGACUAAAACCCUCCAAUUUAUAUAGACACCGGAGAGGGAUAGGGUUACACAGAGUCGGUUACAAUGGGAGGAGAUCUACGUAUCCGUAUCGCCAAGCUUGCCUUCCGUGCCAAGGAAAGUCCCAUCCGGACACUGGACGAAGUCUUCAAUCUUGUAUCUUCAUAGUCCAGGAGUCCGACCAAUGGUUAUAGUCCGGUCAUCCGGACACCCCCUAAUCCAGGACUCCCUCAGUAGCCCCUGAACCAGGCUUCAAUGACGACGAGUCCGGCGCGCAGAUUGUCUUCGGCAUUGCAAGGCGGGUUCCUCCUCCGAAUACUUCAUAGAAGAUUUUGAACACAAGGAUAGUGUCCGGCUCUGCAAAACAAGUUCCACAUACCACCGUAGAGAGAAUAAUAUUUGCACAAAUCUAAUCUGCUGACGUAUUCCGCAGCGUGACAUCACGCCAUGGCCAAGCCUUUAUUCAAAUCGUUUUACUGUCCUACCUUAGCGUGUUUAGUGAGGCGGUUUCCUUGGCACGUCUUGUCAAAGCAGAGAUCCUGUCCCCUUAUUCCGGGAUUCUCAUCAAUAUGGGCGUGGGUAACCCAACCAUGCCAUUAAUCACGGCGCUUGGGAGAUAAGCGAGUUUUACCAGGCUGGUGGAGGCACAUAGUUUUCGUCCGCCCAUAUAAGGGGAUAAGGAUCCACCUUUUUCAUCUACGCCUUCUUCCUCCUUCGCUUAUCCAUUUCCGCGUACUCGAGCUCCAGCUCCCAAGUCCGAACCUCCCGCCUCGACCUUCUCCAUCCAUGUCCGGAGUGGGAGGCAGGUGGAUGGCCUCCUCCGUCACGGAGGGGCACAUCAAAAAGUUGAGGAAAGCCGGAUACUUGUCCAACGACAUUGCGCACUGACUUCCCGACGAGGGGCAGCUCGUCCCCACCCCCAGGCCUCAUGAGAGGGUGGUGUUCCUCCCCCAUUUCCUCCACGGACUGGGCUUCCCACUCCACCCAUUUGUCUGGGAGCUCAUGUUCUACUAUGGCCUGGAUUUCCACGAUCUGGCCCCGAACUUCAUCCUCAACAUCUCGGUGUUUAUCGUCGUGUGCGAGGCCUUCCUCCGCAUCAAGCCCCACUUCGGCUUAUGGCUGAAGACCUUCAAUGUCAAGCCGAAGGUAGUGGGCGGCCAGCAAGCAGAGUGCGGAGGUGCCAUGGUGGGAGAGAUGGCCAAUGUUAUAUGGCUCGAGGGCUCCUUUGUGUAAACCAUCAAGGGGUGGCAAUCGGGGUGGUCCUACAUCACCGAGCCACGUGACCCUGAAUGGGCAGCGGCCCCCGAAUUCCAAUCUGGCAUCCCCACACGGCUCACUUCGUGGAAAGAGAAGGGCCUGACGUGGGGUAAUUCGGAAGAGCAGACCGGACUCCAAACCUGUGUCCAAAACCUGGUGGACAAGAAGGUUAAACUUGUCAACGUAGUCUAGGUCAUGCUCAUCCGCCGGAUCCUCCUGUGUCAACGAUGGGCUUUUAACUUGUGGGAGUUCGACCCGGCCCAGCACCAAACAUUGACCAGGCUCUUUGACACAACGCACGAGGAUGCUUGGAAGGUACUAUUGAAGGGCACCGAGGUUCCUCGUCCCAUUACUGAGGAUCGCGGAUUCUGCGCGAAGCACCAAGCUAGCGUAGUAAGCUUGUUUUACCCUUUACGGGAUACUUGUUUUUCAUAGUUUGACUCUAUGCGGGAUCUAAGCUCUUGUUCCUUUGACAGGACUGGCAGAAGACGGCCGGACAGAUUGACUGUUCAUCUACUUUGCCCGAAGGCCCAGCAGAUGCCAGCUUGGCGAAGGUGCUGGUCCCUGCACCUUACGUGGUGCCGGAGAAGAAGGCCACGUGAACUCGAAAGAGUUGCCGGCCCCCGGUGGUGUCGAAUUCAUCAUCCGAUGACUCUGAAGCGCACUCAUCCCAUGAAAACAAGGAGGAAGAAGAGGCCUCUCCCCCUCCAGCGGGGGGAGUGAGGGAGUCCCUGACUAGGGGGUGUCCGGAUAGCCGAACUAUCAUCAUCGGCCGGACUCCAAGACUAUGAAGAUACAAGAUUGAAGACUUCGUCCCGUGUCCGGAUGGGACUUUCCUUGGCAUGGAAGGCAAGCUUGGCGAUACGGAUAUGUAGAUCCCCUACCAUUGUAACCGACUCUGUGUAACCCUAGCCCUCUCCGGUGUCUAUAUAAACCGGAUGGUUUUAGUCCGUAGGACAUAACAACAAUCAUACCAUAGGCUAGCUUCUAGGGUUUAGCCUCCUUGAUCUCGUGGUAGAUCUACUCUUGUAAUACCCACAUCAUCAAUAUCAAUCAAGCAGGACGUAGGGUUUUACCUCCAUCAAGAGGGCCCGAACCUGGGUAAAACAUCGUGUCCCUUGUCUCCUGUUACCAUCCGCCUAGACGCACAGUUCGGGACCCCCUACCCGAGAUCCGCCGGUUUUGACACCGACAUUAGUGCUUUCAUUGAGAGUUCCUCUGUGUCGUCACCGAUAGGCUCGAUGGCUCCUUCGAUCAUCAACAACGACGCGGUCCAGGGUGAGACUUUUCUCCCCGGACAGAUCUUCGUAUUCGGCGGCUUUGCGCUGCGUGCCAAUUCGUUUGGCCAUCUGGAGCAGAUCGAAAGCUACGCCCCUGGCCGUCAGGUCAGAUUUGGAAGUCUGAACUUCGCGGCUGACAUUCGCGAAGACUUGAUCUUCAAUGGAUUCGAGCCACAGCCGAGCGCGCCGCACUGUCACGAUGGGCAUGAUUUAUCUCUGCUGCCGGACAGUGCCCUAGAGGCCGCACAUGAGUCCGCUCCGACCCUCGAUUCGGAGCUAGAUGUGCAGAUCGAGGACGGGUGGUUAGACACCGCCUCGGGGGCUGCAACCUCUACGGCGAUAGAGCCGAAUACUGACUUUGUCCCUUUUGAAGCUCGUGACUCCAAGGUGCCGGACUCCUUGUCGGACUCCGAACCUCCCGCGCCCCCUCCAAUCGAAUCCGAUUGGGCGCCGAUCAUGGAGUUCACCGCUGCGGACAUCUUUCAGCACUCACCUUUUGGCGACAUCCUGUGUUCGCUAAAGUAUCUCUCGUUAUCAGGAGAGCCCUGGCCGGACUGCGGUCAGGACGGUUGGGAUGCGGACGAUGAAGAAAUUCAAGACCCACCCACCACCCACUUAGUAGCCAUGAUCGACGACUUAACCGACAUGCUAGACUUCGACUCCGAAGACAUCGACGGUAUGGACGAUGAUGCCGGAGACGACCAAGAACCAGCGCCUACUGGGCACUGGAAAGCCACCUCGUCAUACGACAUAUACAUGGUGGAUAUCCCAAAGGAUGGGAAUGGCGAAGGAACAGCGGAGGAAGACCCCUCCAAGAAACAGCCUAAGCGUUGGCGUCAGCGGCGCCGCUCUAAAUCCCGCCACAGCAAGAAUGGCGAUUCCGGCACCGGAGAUAAUAAUACCCAGACAGUGCCGAAGACAACCCCCUGUAGCAAGAUUCAGCACAGGAGGACGGAGAUGCCAGCCCUCAUGAGAGAGUGGCAGACGAAGAGGUAGAGGAUGAUAAUUACAUGCCUCCCUCCGGAGACGAGGCAAGCCUCGAUGACGACGAAUUUGUCGUGCCUGAGGAUCCCGUCGAACAAGAGCGUUUUAAACGCAGGCUUAUAGCCACGGCAAACAGCCUCAAGAAAAAGCAGCAACAGCUUAGAGCUGAUCAGGAUCUGCUAGCCGACAGAUGGACUGAAGUCCUUGCGGCCGAAGAGCAUGAGCUCGAACGCCCCUCCAAAAGCUACCCCAAACGCAAGUUGCUCACCCGAUUAGAGGAGGAGGCAUAUAAACCUGCAUCACCAGAGCACAAUGCGGCUUACCGGCCACCUCGUGGCCCCGACAGAGAGGCCUCUAGGCCCUCCACUAGAACCGUACCCCGGCAUCGCUCGAAAAGCACAAGGCCACAGGGGAACGCUCCGGACUUGCGAGAUAUAUUGGAGGAUAAGGCAAGACAAUCAAGAUCGAUCUACGGAUCGCGUGGGCGCCCCAGGAUACGCGAGGUCAACCGUCGCGCCGGACACAGUAAGUCCGGCCGGGCCGAUAUGGCCCAAUACAGAGGUGCCGCACACCCGAAGUAAUGGAUCAUCAAAUCCCCGAAGGGUUUAAACCUGUGAAUAUUGAAUCCUAUGAUGGCACAACAGACCCCGCGGUUUGGAUCAAAUACUAUCUCCUUCAUAUCCACAUGGCCCGCGGUGACGAUCUUCACGCCAUCAAAUACCUCCCACUCAAGCUUAAAGGACCAGCUCGGCAUUGGCUUAACAGCUUGCCAGCAGAAUCAAUUGGGUGUUGGGAGGACCUAGAAGCCGCAUUCCUUGAUAACUUCCAGGGCACGUAUGUGCGACCACCAGACGCUGACGACCUAAGCCACAUAAUUCAGCAACCAGACGAAUCGGCCAGACAAUUCCGGACACGGUUCUUAACUAAGAAAAAUCAAAUCGUCGACUGUCCGGAUGCGGAGGCCCUCGCGGCCUUCAAACAUAACAUCUGCGACGAGUGGCUUGCCUGGCACCUGGGACAGGAAAAGCCGAAAUCCAUGGCAGCCCUCACAUCACUCAUGACCCGCUUCUGCGCGGGAGAGGACAGCUGGCUAGCCCGCAGCAGCAACCUCAGCAGAAAUUCUGGCAGUCCGGAUACAAAGGACCGCAAUGGCAGGUCGCCUCGCAACAAGAACAAACACCGCAUUAAUGGCGACAAUAAUGAGGAUACAACAGUCAAUGCCGGAUUCAGAGGCUCCAAACCUGGUCAGCGGAAAAAGCCAUUCAAAAGAACUACUACGGGUCCGUCCAAUUUGGACCGAAUACUCGAUCGCUCGUGCCAGAUACACGGCACCCCUGAAAAGCCAGCCAACCACACCAACAGGGAAUGUUGGGUAUUCAAGCAGGCAGGUAAGCUAAUUGCCGAAAACAAUGGCAAGGGGCUGCAUAGCGAUGACGAAGAAGAGACCCGACCGCCGAACAAUAGAGGACAGAAGGGUUUCCCCCCACAAGUGCGGACGGUGAAUAUGAUAUACGCAACCCACAUACCCAAGAGGGAGCGGAAGCAUGCACUCAGGGACGUAUACGCGAUGGAGCCGGUCGGCCCGAAGUUCAACCCAUGGUCCUCCUGCCCAAUCACUUUUGAUCGAAGGGACCACCCCACCAGCAUCCGCCAUGGCGGAUUCGCCGCAUUGGUUUUAGACCCAAUCGUCGAUGGAUUUCACCUCACCAGAGUCCUGAUGGACGGAGGCAGCAUCCUGAACCUGCUUUAUCAUGACACAGUGUGCAAGAUGGGCAUAGACCCCUCAAGGAUUAAACCCACAAAGACGACCUUCAAAGGCGUCAUACCAGGUGUAGAGGCCAAUUGUACAGGCUCAGUUACACUGGAAGUGGUCUUCGGAUCCACGGAUAACUUCCGAAGCGAGGAGUUAAUCUUUGACAUAGUUCUGUUCCACAGCGGCUAUCAUGCUCUACUCGGACGGACCGCGUUUGCAAAGUUCAACGCGGUGCCGCACUACGCAUACCUCAAGCUCAAGAUGCCAGGCCCUCGAGGAGUCAUAACGGUCAACGGAAACACCGAACGCUCCCUCCGAAUAGAGGAACAUACAGCGGCUCUCGCGGCAGAAGUACAAUGCAGCCUCUUAAGGCAAUUCUCGAGUCCGGACGUUAAGCGACCGGACACGGCUAAACACGCCCGGAGUAACCUACAACAAGACUACCUGGCACGUUCCAAGCACGCGUAGCAAUGCGGCCCCAACCCCAGCCCUCGCAAGAUCGCAAGACUGGUCCUUCGCGUACAUCAUUACGCUCUGGAGAUACCAUGGGCAUAGGGGAAGGGGCACGACCACGACAGGCCCAGAAUGCGGCUUAACCACAUCAGGGGCUCCCAAGUGUGUCAUUCCUUUUUUUUCUUUUUCUUUCUUACCCACAGGACUCCGUUCACCAGAGGCCCUGUCCGGCAGUAGACCGGCCGAACUCACGAUGUAACAGCUAGGGAAGGAGAAAGGCUACGACGAAUAUCCAGGUGGUCUCCAUUACGAGCACUAAAUAUAUUUUAUACACCAUUCCGCAGCCUACCCCUGGAGGGGGAAAUGUUUAAUAGUCCCAUCCCUUGCUCAUCGCACUAUUUGUAUCAUUCUGCAUUCAUGGCAGUAUUUCUUGAAUAAACAAUGCAGCACCUUUUUGCUUAUAAUUGCAUUCCUUUCUUAUACAUAUGUUCAUUUAUGACAUGUCGCAUCCGUACACUUUGGUACGGCUAAAUACACCAGGGGCUUAAGUUCCCCACAUUAUGGUGUGAUAAGUCCGAACACUUUCACAAGUGCGGCACCCCGAACUUAUAGCAUUAUAUGCAUCAGCUCCGAAUCAUGUCUUGGGUCAAUAGUUGGGUUUGCCCGGCUCCCAUGUUUUGGGACCUUACGUUUCGUUCUAUCGGCUAAGGUAGCACUGGGAGAACCACUGCGAUUGUGCCCCAGUUGAGCUGGGCGAGCGCCUCAGUGGAGAAAGCUAAAACUGACCGUCAUGAUGAGGCGAGAGCCGGUCGGUGUUCGAGAGGUUUUUUCGAGUCCCUAAAGACUUAUGCCGCUAAGAGCGAGGAACCGGCUUUGUCCGGCCCAGGCGUGGAUAGCGCCCCGAAUUCGGCCUUUCGAACACUAGGGGCUUCGCCGAAAUUUAAAAUUAUAGAAUUCGAUGGCUAAGUGAGAGUGUUCAAGCAUUAUAAGUCCGGUUGCCUAGUUCGUUGUGUUGAGCGCCUCCCUAGAUGGACCCAUAUAUGGGAACAAGAGUGCUCAAAUUUAUCCCGAACACCCCAGCACUCGUGGCAUGGGGGUUGAAGCCGACGACUUGCCAUCUCUCAGAUUUGAUAAAUAGCCGCACAGAAGGUAAUAUUUUAAAUCAACAAGCGUUGCUUAGCGCAUAUGAACAAAGUUUUCAGCGCACAUGAUAACAAAAUGCGAGUCUACUCAAAUAUUACAUUAUUGGAGCACUCACCCACAAUAGUGCGGGAACCCUUUAGGACACUCUUGUAAUACAUCUCGGGCGUGCGAUACUCCUUGCCAGGCGGUGGCGCGUCCGUCACAAGCUUCUCAGCAUCCAUCUUGCCCCAGUGCACCUUAGCACGGGCAAGGGCCCGACGGGCACUUCAAUACAGGCGGAUCGCUUGAUGACCACAACCCAUGGACAAGCAUCCACCAGCCGCCGCACCAGGCCGAAGUAGCUCCCAGGCAUGGCCUCAUUGGGCCACAUCCAAACUAUGAGGCCCUUCAUGGCCUGUUCGGCCACCUUGUGGAGCUCGACCAGCUGAUUCAGCUGGUCGCUAAGGGGCACCGGAUGUCCGGCCUCAGCAUACUAAGACCAAAAGACCUUCUCCGUCGAGCUCCCCUCCUCGGCCCUGUAGAAAGCGGCAGCAUCAGACACGCUGCGGGGCAGAUCUGCGAACGCUCCUAGAGAGCUCCAAAUUCGGAUAAGUAACAGGUAAUUCACAUUCACAUGCUUGCUUUGCAUGAAAAAUGCCUUACCCGCCGCUAUUUUCUUCAACGCCUCGAUUUCCUGAAGGGCCUUGUGGGCUUCGGCCUUUGCGGCUUUGGCGCUCUCAAGAGCCGAGGCAAGCUCGGACGCUCGAGUCUUCGAGUCGCGCUCCAAACACUCAUGCUUUUCCACGAGAGCCUGGAGCUCUUGUUGUACCUCUGCCACCCGCGCCUCCUACUUCUCUCGCCCGGCGCGCUCCACGGCCGCAUUACGUUUGGCCGCGGACACCGCCUCCUUCAGGGUCGCCACCUUGUUCGUGGCCCCUGAAGUACCCACGUUAUCCUUGUCAUUUCUCUUGCAACCAAAUCCUUUUCUGUAAGGUACAACUUUAAUAAGGUGUUACUCACCUUCCUUGUCCUCAAGCUGCUUCUUGGCACGGCCGAGCUCCUUCUCGGACCGCUCGAGGCUUUGCUUCAAAGCAUUGACCUCCGCAGUCAGUGCGGCAGAGGUCAGCAGCGCAGCCUGCAAUCCCAUAUUGACAUAUUUAUUAAGACUCCUGCAUAUAUCUUUUUAGAUCCUCAGUCCGGCUUUUCUUUCCGAACACCGAACCAAGCAUUAGGGGCUACUGUCUAUGCGGUACUAUUUUACAUAUAUUAAUAUUCUUACCUCAAAGCCUGAUAGAAGGCUGCUGCAGGCUUCGGUCAGCCUGCUUUUGGCGAGCUGAACCUUCUGAAUCACCGCACUCAUGACAGUGCGGUGUUCCUCCUUGAUGGAAGCGCCGUUGACCGCCUCCAACAAGUUAUCCGGCGCCUCCGGUUGGACGGAGGCCGCCGGCAUCACGGUCUUUCCCUUCUUACGAAGGGGCCGCCCGCCGGACACCGGAACCACUGUAGGUUCCAGUGCGGAGUCCGGUACGAAGUCCGGGAGGUCGCCCUGUGGCACCUCCGGGCCCUCCUCCUCCGGGUUGGUCCUUCUCUGGGAUCCCACCUUGGCAUCGUCAGUGUCACGGGGGGAGGAGGCGGUUGGAAGUGAAGUACUGUUCACCUCCGACGUGCCCAAGGACUCGCUCGACAAAGCGGGAAGAUCGUCCUUGGGCGGACUGCAGGGUUGUAUGCGGCGUUAGAAAGACACCAUGUGGCAGAAAGAAAAAUCAUGAAGUCAUUCGGGAGUCCGGAUACUUACUAUCUCGCCAGGGGCUUGGCCCUUUGAGGCCAAUCCUCGUCGUCGUCACAGGCGUGGGCAGAACAGUCCGGGGGAAGAGUCCUUCCCUUCUUGGACCCUUCAGCCUCCCUCAUUGGGGAAGCCUUCCUUUUCUUACCUCCCCCCACUGGGGGAGAGGCCUUUUUCUUCUCCCCCUCGUCCUCGUGGGAGGAGUCCGCCUCGGAGUCAUCGGACACCUAAAAACGGGAACUCUUUCGAGUGCCCGUGGCCUCCUUCUUGGCCUUCUUCUCCGGCACCACAUGGGGUGCCGGAACCAGCAGCCCCGCUAAACGGGCGUCCGCUGGGUCUUCUGGCAAAGGGGCCGGACAGUUAGUCUGCUCGGCCUUCUUCAGCCAGUCCUAUCAAAGGAGAGGGAGUUUAGAUCCCGCAUGGAGUCUAACUAUGGAAAACAAGUGUCCUGUAAAGGGUAAAAUCACUUACCUCGCUAGCCUGGCACUACGAGCUGAAUCCGCGAUCUUCAGUAGCGGAUGCGGGAGCCUUGGCGCCCUUAAACAGCACCUUCCAGGCAUCUUCGUACCUAGUGUCGAAGAGCCCGCUCAAGGUUCAGUGUUGGGCCGGAUCAAACUCCCACAAUUUGAAGGCCCAUUGUUGGCACGGGAGAAUCCGGCGGAUGAGCAUGACCUGGACUACGUUGACAAGCUUGAGCUUCUUGUUCACUAGCUUUUGGAUGCAGGCUUGGAGUCUAGUCAGCUCCUCUGAAUCGCCCCAAGUCAGGCCAUUCUCUUUCCAAGAGGUGAGCCAUGUGGGGAUGCCAGAUCUGAAUUCGGGGGCCGCUGCCCAUUUAGGGUCACGCAGCUCGGUGAUGUAGAACCACCCCGAUUGCCACCCCUUGAUGGUUUCCACGAAGGCGCCCUCGAGCCAAGUAACGUUGGGUAUCUUUCCCACCAUGGUGCCUCCGCACUCCGCUUGACUGCCCUUCACAACCUUCGGCUUGACAUUGAAGGUCUUGAGCCACAAGCCGAAGUGGGGCUGGAUGCAGAGGAAAGCCUCGCACACGACGAUAAGCGCCGAGAUGUUGAGGAUGAAAUUCGGGGCCAGAUCAUGGAAAUCCAGACCGUAGUAGAACAUGAGCCCCCGGACAAAGGGGUGAAGUGGGAAGCCCAAUACGUGGAGGAAAUGGGGAAGGAAUACCACCCUCUCAUGGGGCCUGGGGGUGGGGAUGGGCUGCCCCUCGUCGGGGAACCGGUGCGCGGUGUCACUGGACAGAUAUCCGGCGCUGCGCAGCUUCUUGAUGUGCCCCUCCGUAACGGAGGAGGCCAUCCACUUGCCUCCCGCUCCGAACAUAGUUGGAGAAGGUUGAGGUGAGAUGUGCGGACUUGGGCGCUGGAGCUCGAGUACGCGGAGAUGGAUAAGCAAAGGAGGAAGAAGGCGUAGGUAAAAAGGUGGAUCCUUAUCCCCUUAAAUAUGGGCGGACGAAACUAUGCGUCCCCACCGGCCUGAUAAAACUCGCUUUUCUCCCAAGCGCCGCAAUCAAUGGUGCGGUUGGGUUACCCACGUCCGUAUUGAUGGGAAUCCCGGAAUAAGGGGAACACGAUCUCUGCUUCGACAAGACGUGCCAAGGAAACCGCUUCGCUAAACGGGCUGAGGUGGUAUAAUAAAAACGAUUCAAGUAAAGGCUUGGUUGUGGUGUGACGUCACACCACGAAACACGUCAGCAGAUUGAACUUGUGUUAAUAUUAUUCUCUCUACGGUGGAAUGUGGAAUUUAUUUUGCAGAGCCGGACAGUAUCCUGGUGUUCACAAUCUUCUAUAAAUUAUUCGGAGGAGGAACCCGCCUUGUAAUGCCGAAGACAAUAUGCACGCCGAACUCGUCGUCAUUGAAGCCUGGUUCAGGGGCUACUGAGGGAGUCCUGGACUAGGGGGUGUCCGGAUUGCCGAACUAUCAUCAUCGGCCGGACUCCAAGACUAUGAAGAUACAAGAUUGAAGACUUCGUCCCGUGUCCGGAUGGGACUUUCCUUGGCGUGGAAGGCAAGCUUGGUGAUAUGGAUAUGUAGAUCCCCUACCAUUGUAACCGGCUCUGUGUAACCCUAGCCCUCUCCGGUGUCUAUCUAAACCGGAUGGUUUUAGUCCGUAGGACAUAACAACAAUCAUACCAUAGGCUAGCUUCUAGGGUUUAGCCUCCUUGAUCUCGUGGUAGAUCUACUCUUGUAAUACCCACAUCAUCAAUAUCAAUCAAACAGGACGUAGGGUUUACCUCCAUCAAGAGGGCCCAAACCUGGGUAAAACAUCGUGUCCCUUGUCUCCUGUUACCAUCCGGCUAGACGCACAGUUCGGGACCCCCUACCCGAGAUCCGCCGGUUUUGACACUGACAGGGAGGAAAGAAAAGGAAGGCCACCCCAACUAGGGGGGCCGGAGGGUCCAAGAAGGGAAGGACCCUUCCUCCGGACUACUCCGCCAACGAAAACGACGACGGCGAGGAAUGGCCAUCCAGGUCCAAGCCCCUGGCAAAAUCGUAAGUAUCCAGAUACCAGAAUAACUCCUGGCGUUCCUUUAUUGCGCAGUAUCCUCUGACGCCGAAUAUAAUCGUGCAGUCCACCCAAGGCCUGGCUCGAUGCUUCGUCGAGCGGCUCCCUGGAUUCGUCAGAUGUGAAUAGUCUUUCACUCCCGACCGCUACCUCCCCUCGCCCUGCGACGAUGCCGAGGUGGAGUCCCAAAAGGGGCCAUGCCAGGAGGAGGUGGUCCUGGAGGCGCCGCAAGGCGACCUCCCGUACUCCAGGCGCAAAGGGGAUAAAACCCCAAAGGGCUCUAAGUCCGGCACUGGGCCGGACACCGCACCGGAACCUUUAGUGGUUCCGGAGUCCGGCAGGCAGCCCCCUAGUAAGAGGGGCAAGCCUAUGACGCUAGGGACCUCCGUCCAACCGAAGGCACCGGAUAAUUUGCAGGAGGUGCUUAACGGCGCCUCCAUCAACGAGGAGCACCGCACUAUUAUGAGUGCGGUGAUCCAUAAGGUUCAAUCCGCCAAGAGCGGGCUGACGGAAGCUUGUGCCAGCUAAGGGAGUCCUGGACUAGGGGGUGUCCGGAUAGCCAAACUAUCAUCAUCGGCCGGACUCCAAGACUAUGAAGAUACAAUAUUGAAGACUUCGUCCCGUGUCCGGAUGGGACUUUCCUUGGCGUGGAAGGCAAGCUUGGCGAUACGGACAUGUAGAUCUCCUACCAUUGUAACCGACUCUGUGUAACCCUAGCCCUCUCCAGUGUCUAUAUAAACCAGAUGGUUUUAGUCCGAAGGACACAACAAUAAUCAUACCAUAGGCUAGCUUCUAGGGUUUAGCCUCCUUGAUCUCGUGGUAGAUCUACUCUUGUAAUACCCACAUCAUCAAUAUCAAUCAAGCAGGACGUAGGGUUUUACCUCCAUCAAGAGGGCCCGAACCUGGGUAAAACAUCGUGUCCCUUGUCUCCUGUUACCAUCCGCCUAGACGCACAAUUCGGGACCCCCUACCCGAGAUCUGCCGGUUUUGACACCGACAUUGGUGCUUUCAUUAAGAGUUCCUCUGUGUCGUCACUGAUAGGCUUGAUGGCUCCUUCGAACAUCAACAACGACGCGGUCCUGGGUGAGACUUUUCUCCCCGGACAGAUCUUCGUAUUCAGCGGCUUUGCACUGCGGGCCAAUUCGUUUGGCCAUCUGAAGCAGAUCGCAAGCUACGCCCCUGGCCGUCAGGUCAGAUUUGGAAGUCUGAACUUCACGGCUGACAUCCGCGGAGACUUGAUCUUCAAUGGAUUCGAGCCACAACCGAGCGUGCCGCACUGUCACGAUGGGCAUGAUUUAGCUCCGCUGCCGGACAGUGCCCUGGUGGCCGCACAUGAGUCUGCUCCGACCCUCGAUUCGGAGCCGGCUGUGCAGAUCAAGGAUGGGUGGUUAGACACCGCCUCGGGGGCUGCAACCUCUACGGCGAUAGAGCCGAAUACUGACUUUGUCCCUUCUGAAGCUCGUGACUCAAAGGUGCCAGACUCCUUGCCGGACUCCGAACCUCCCACGCCCCCUCCAAUCGAAUCCGAUUGGGCGCCGAUUAUGGAGUUCACCGCUGCGGACAUCUUUCAGCACUCACCUUUCGGCGACAUCCUGAGUUUGCUAAAGUAUCUCUCAUUAUCAGGAGAGCCCUGGCCGGACUGCGGUCAGGACGGUUGGGAUGCGGACGACGAAGAAAUUCAAGACCCACCCACCACCCACUUAGUAGCCGCUGUCGACGAUCUAACCGACAUGCUAGACUUCGACUCCGAAGACAUCGACGGUAUGGACGACGAUUCCGGAGACGACCAAGAACCAGCGCCUACUGGGCACUGGAAAGCCACCUCGUCAUAUGACAUAUACAUGGUGGAUAUCCCAAAGGAUGGGAAUGGCGAAGGAACAGCGGAGGAAGACCCCUCCAAGAAACAGCCCAAGCGCCGGCGUCAGCGGCGCUGCUCUAAAUCCCGCCACAGCAAGAAUGGAGAUUCCGACACCGGAGAUAAUAAUACCCCAGACAAUGCCAAAGACAACCCCCUCCAGCAAGAUUCAGCGCACGAGGACGGAGAUGCCAGCCCUCAUGAGAGAGCGGCAGGCGAAGAGGUAGAGGAUGAUAAUUACAUGCCUCCCUCUGGAGACGAGGCAAGCCUCGACGAUGACGAAUUUUUCGUGCCUGAGGAUCCCGUCGAACAAGAGCGUUUUAAACACAGGCUUAUGGCCACGGCAAACAGCCUCAAGAAAAAGCAGCAACAGCUUAGAGCUGAUCAGGAUCUGCUAGCCGACAGAUGGACUGAAGUCCUAGCGGCCGAAGAGCAUGAGCUCGAACGCCCCUCCAAAAGCUACCCCAAACGCAAGUUGCUCCCCCGAUUAGAGGAGGAGCCAUAUAAACCUGCAUCACCAGAGCACAAUACGGCUGACCGGCCACCUCGUGGCCGCGACAGAGAGGCCUCUAGGCCCUCCACUAGAACCGUACCCCGGCAUCGCUUGAAAAGCACAAGGACACAGGGGAACGCUCCGGACUUGCGAGAUAUAUUGGAGGAUAAGGCAAGACAAUCAAGAUCGAUCUACGGAUCGCGUGGGCUCCCCAUGAUACGUGACGACAACCGUCGCGCCGGACACAGUAAGUCCGGCCGGGCCGAACACAAUAGACAAAGCUCGUUGGAGCUCCGUCGUGAUAUAGCCGAAUACAGAGGCGCCGCACACCCACUAUGCUUCACAGAUGAAGUAAUGGAUCAUCAAAUCCCCGAAGGGUUUAAACACAUGAAUAUUGAAUCCUAUGAUGGCACAACAGACCCCGCGGUUUGGAUCGAAGACUAUCUCCUUCAUAUCCACAUGGCCCGCGGUGACGAUCUUCACGCCAUCAAAUACCUCCCACUCAAGCUUAAAGGACCAGCUUGGCAUUGGCUUAGCAGCUUGCCAGCAGAAUCAAUUGGGUGUUGGGAGGACCUGGAAGCCGCAUUCCUUGAUAACUUCCAGGGCACGUAUGUGCGACCACCAGACGCUGACGACCUAAGCCACACAAUUCAGCAGCCAGACGAAUCAGCCAGACAAUUCUGGACACGGUUCUUAACUAAGAAAAAUCAAAUCGUCGACUGUCCGGAUGCGGAAGCCCUCGCGGCCUUCAAACAUAACAUCCACGACGAGUGGCUUGCCCGGCACCUGGGACAGGAAAAGCCGAAAUCCAUGGCAGCCCUCACAUCACUCAUGACCCGCUUCUGCGCGGGAGAGGACAACUGGCUAGCCCGCAGCAACAACCUCAACAAAAAUUCUGGCAUUCCGGAUACAAAGGACCGCAAUGGCAGGUCGUGUCGCAACAAGAACAAAUGCCACAUUAACAACGACAAUAAUGAGGAUACGGCAGUCAAUGCCGCAUUCAGAGGCUCCAAACCCGGUCAGCGGAAAAAGCCAUUCAAAAGAACUACUACGGGUCCGUCCAAUUUGGACCGAAUACUUGAUCGCUCGUGCCAGAUACACGGCACCCCUGAAAAGCCAGCCAACCACACCAACAGGGACUGUUGGGUAUUCAAGCAGGCAGGCAAGCUAAUUGCCAAAAACAAUGGCAAGGGGCUGCAUAGCGAUGGCGAAGAAGAGACCCGACCGCCGAACAGUAGAGGACAUAAGGGUUUCCCCCCACAAGUGCGAACGGUGAAUAUGAUAUACGCAACCCACAUACCCAAGAGGGAGCAGAAGCGUGCACUCAGGGACGUAUACGCGAUGGAGCCAGUCGCCCCAAAGUUCAGCCCAUGGUCCUCCUGCCCGAUCACUUUUGAUCGAAGGGACCACCCCACCAGCAUCCGCCACGGUGGAUUCGCCGCAUUGGUUUUAGACCCAAUCAUCGAUGGAUUUCACCUCAUCGGAGUCCUAAUGGACGGCGGCAGCAGCCUGAACCUGCUUUAUCAGGACACAGUGCGCAAGAUGGGCAUAGACCCUCAAGGACUAAACCCACAAAGAUGACCUUCAAAGGCGUCAUACCAGGUGUAGACGCCAAUUGUACGGGCUCAGUUACACUGGAAGUGGUCUUCGGAUCCCCGGAUAACUUCCGAAGCGAGGAGUUAAUCUUCGACAUAGUUCCGUUCCGCAGCGGCUAUCAUGCUCUGCUCGGACGGACCGCGUUUGCAAAGUUCAACGCGGUGCCGCACUACGCAUACCUCAAGCUCAAGAUGCCAGGCCCUCGAGGAGUCAUCACGGUCAACGGAAACACCGAACGCUCCCUCCGAACGGAGGAACAUACAGCGGCUCUCGCGGGAGAAGUACAAUGUAGCCUCUUAAGGCAAUUCUCGAGUCCGGCCGUUAAGCGACCGGACACAGCUAAACGCGCCCAGAGUAACCUACAACAAGACCACCUGGCACGUUCCGAGCACGCGUAGCAAUGCGGCCCCAACCCCAGCCCUCGCAAGAUUGCAAGACUGGUCCUUCGCGUACAUCAUUACGCUCUGGAGAUACCAUGGGCAUAGGGGGAGGGGCACGACCACGACAGGCCCAGAAUGCGGCUUAACCACAUCAGGGGCUCCCAAGUGUGUCAUUCCUUUAUUUUCUUUUUCUUUCUUACCCACAGGACUCCGUUCACCAGAGGCCCUGUCCGGCAGUAGACCAGCCGAACUCACGAUGCAACAGCCAGGGAAGGAGAAAGGCUACGACGAAUAUCCAGGUGGUCUCCAUUACGAGCACUAAAUCUAUUUUAUACACCAUUCCGCAGCCUACCCCUGGAGGGGGACAUGUUUAAUAGUCCCAUCCCUUGCUUAUCGCACUAUUUGUAUCGUCCUGCAUUCAUGGCAGUAUUUCUUGAAUAAACAAUGCAGCACCUUUUUGCUUUUAAUUGCAUUCCUUUCUUAUACAUAUGUUCAUUUAUGACAUGCCGCAUCCGUACACUUUGGUACGGCUAAAUACACCAGGGGCUUAAGUUCCCCACAUUAUGGUGUGAUAAGUCCGAACACAUUCACAAGUGCGGCACCCCGAACUUAUAGCAUUAUAUGCAUUGGCUCCGAAUCAUGUCUUGGGUCAAUAGUUGGGUUUGCCUGGCUCCCAUGUUUUGGUACCUUACGUUCCGUUCUAUCGGCCAAGGUAGCACUGGGAGAACCACUGCGAUUGCGCCCCAGUUGAGCUGGGCGAGCGCCUCAGUGGAGAAAGCUAAAACUGACCGUCAUGAUGAGGCGAGAGCCGGUCGCUGUUCGAGAGGUUUUUUCAAGUCCCUAAAGACUUAUGCCGCUUAGAGCGAGGAACCGGCUCUGUCCGGCCCAGGCGUGGAUAGCGCCCUGAAUUCGGCCUUCCGAACACUAGGGGCUUCGCCGAAAUUUAAAAUUAUAGAAUUCUAUGGCUAAGUGAGAGUGUUCAAGCAUUAUAAGUCCGGUUGCCUAGUUUGUUGUGUUGAGCGUCUCCCUAGAUGGACCCAAAUCUGGGAACAACAGUGCUCAAAUUUAUCCCGAACACCCCAACACUCGUGGCAUGGGGGCUGAAGCCGACGACUUGCCAUCUCUCAGAUUUGAUAAACAGCCGCACAGAAGGUAAUAUUUUAAAUCAACAAGCGUUGCUUAGCGCAUAUGAACAAAGUUUUCAGCGCACAGGAUAACAAAAUGCGAGUCUACUCAAAUAUUACAUUAUUGGAGAACUCACCCACAAUAGUGCGGGCACCCUUCAGGACACUCUUGUAAUACAUCUUGGGCAUGCGAUACUCCUUGCCCAGCGGUGUCGCGUCCGUCACAAGCUUCUCAGCAUCCAUCUUGCCCCAGUGCACCUUAGCACGGGCAAGGGCACGACGGGCACCUUCAAUACAGGCAGAUCGCUUGAUGACCUCAACCCAUGGACAAGCAUCCACCAGCCGCCGCACCAAGCCGAAGUAGCUCCCAUGCAUGGCCUCAUUGGGCCACAGCCGAACUAUGAGGCCCUUCAUGGCCUGUUCGGCCACCUUGUGGAGCUCGACCAGCCGCUUCAGCUAGUCGCUAAGGGGCACCGGAUGUCCGGCCUCAGCAUACUGAGAGCAGAAGACCUUCUCCGUUGAGCUCCCCUCCUCGGCCCUGUAGAAAGCGGCAGCAUCGGACACGCUGCGGGGCAGAUCUGCGAACGCUCCUGGAGAGCCCCGAAUUCGGGUAAGUAACAGGUAAUUCACAUUCACAUGCUUGCUUUGCAUGAAAAAUGCCUUACCCGCCGCUAUUUCCUUCAACGCCUCGAUCUCCUGAAGGGCCUUGUGGGCUUUGGCCUUAGCGGCUUUGGCGCUCUCAAGAGCCGAUGCAAGCUCGGACUCUUGAGUCUUUGAGUCGCGCUCCAAACUCUCAUGCUUUUCCAGGAGAGCUUGGAGCUCUUGCUGUACCUCCACCACCCGCGCCUCCUGCUUCUCUCGCCCAGCACGCUCCACGGCCGCAUUACGUUCGGCCGCGGACACCGCCUCCUUCAAGGUCGCCACCUCGUUCGUGGCCCCUGAAGUACCCACGUUAUCCUUGUCAUUUAUCUUGCAACCAAAUCCUUUUCUGUAAGGUACAACUUGAAUAAGGUGUUACUCACCUUCCUUGUCCUCGAGCUGCUUCUUGGCACGGCCGAGCUCGUUCUCGGACCGCUCGAGGCUUUGCUUCAAAGCAUUGACCUCCGCAGUCAGUGUGGCAGAGGUCAGCAGCGCAGCCUACAAUCCCAUAUUGACAUUUUUUAAGACUCCUGCGAAUAUCUUUUUAGAUCCUCAGUCCGGCUUUUCUUUCUGAACACCGAACCGAGCAUCAGGGGCUACUGUCUAUGCGGUACUAUUUUACAUAUAUUAAUAUUCUUACCUCAAAGCCUGAUAGAAGGCUGCUGCAGGCUUCGGUCAGCCCGCUUUUGGCGAGCUGGACCUUCUGAAUCACCGCACUCAUGACAGAGCGGUGUUCCUCCUCGAUGGAAGCGCCCUUGAGCGCCUCCAGCAAGUUAUCCGGUGCCUCCGGUUGGACGGAGGCCGCCGGCGCCAUGGUCUUGCCCUUCUUGCGAAGGGGCCACCCGCCGGACUCCGGAACCACUGCAGGUUCCGGUGCGGAGUCUGGCACGAAGUCCGGGAGGUAGCCCUGUGGCACCUCCGGGUCCUCCUCCUCCGGGUGGGUCUCUCUCUGGGAUCCCACCUCGGUGUUAUCAGCGUCACGGGGGGAGGAGGCGGUUGGAAGUGAAGUACUAUUCACAUCCGACGUGCCCAAGGACCCGCUCGACGAAGCGGGAAGAUCGUCCUUGGGCGGACUGGAGGGUUGUAUACGGUGUUAGAAAGACACCAUGUGGCAAAAAGAAAAAUCAUGAAGUCAUUCGGGAGUCCGGAUACUUACUAUCUCACUAGGGGCUUGGCCCUUGGAGGCCAAUCCUCGUCGUCGUCACCGGUGUUGGCGGAACAGUCCGGGGGAAGAGUUCUUCCCUUCUUGGACCCUUCGGCCUCCCUCGUUGGGGAGGCCCUCCUUUUCUUCCCUUCCCCCGCUGGGGGAGAGGCCUUUUUCUUCUCCUCCUCGUCCUCGGGGGAGGAGUCCACCUCGGAGUCAUCGGACACCUGAAAACGGGAACUCUUUCGAGUGCCCGUGGCCUCCUUCUUGGCCUUCUUCUCCGGCACCACGUGGGGUGUCGGAACCAGCAGCCCCGUUAAACGGGCAUCCGCUGGGUCUUCUGGCAAAGGGGCCGGACAGUUAGUCUGCUCGGCCUUCUUCAGCAGGUCCUGUCAAUGGAGAGGGAGUUUAGAUCCCGCAUAGAGUCAAACUAUGAAAAACAAGUGUCCCGUAAAGGGUAGAAUCGCUUACAUCGCUAGCCUGGCGCUGCGAGCUGAAUCCGCGAUCUUCGGUAGCGGAUGCGGGAGCCUCGGCGCCCUUAAACAGCACCUUCCAGGCAUCUUCGUACCUAGUGUCGAAGAGCUCGCUCAAGGUUCGGUGCUGAGCCGGAUCGAGCUCCCACAAUUUAAAGGCCCGUUGUUGGCACGGGAGAAUCCGGCGGAUGAGCAUGACCUGGACUACAUUGACAACCUUGAGCUUCUUGUUCACCAGCUUCUGGGUGCAGGCUUGGAGUCCGGUCAGCUCCUCCGGAUCGCCCCAAGUCUGUGACACUCCAAAAAUUUUCUUUGUGGUUUUGUUUUCAGCAAAAAUCUUUCUUGGAUUUAGUUUCUCCUGAGAGGAAGAACCUUUUUGGUUUUUGGGCUUUUAUUUGGUUUUGAUCCUUUCUAAAUUUUACCAUGUCUCCUAUGGUAAAAUUUUCUCAAAAAACACUCAUUCCACUUUGGUUCAACCCAAACAUUCUGUCCAAACUAAUAAAAUCCAUUUUUGGAUUUUAUUCCAAUUAUUUCUCCUCCCAAAAUAAUUCUGUCUUUUCUCUUGAGCCUAGGUGAUUUGCAAAGCAAGUACCCUAAUGCUUUUGAUUUUUGACCUCAACUCAACACCCCUGGAUAGUCCCUUGUACCCACAACCUAGAACCAUCUUGAUCCACUCUUCUUCUUCUCAAAUAUUUCAAAUUUCACCCUCUGCAAGUUUGGACCAGAUUUGCCAAAUUUGAUGAAAUUCAUAUCUACACUUCUCUAAAAAUUCCACCAAAAUUCAGGCCACCUCUAGCUGCAAUGAGAGACCACUCCACCAAAAACCAGCUCAAGGAAAAAUCCCUACACACUAGAAUCAUUCUGUCGAACACCUUGCAUGCACUAGUACUGUUCACUUUCAGAAAAUUCAGAAGUUCAGUGUCGAUCUCCGUCAGUAACUUCAGUCACGAGUCCACAGUGCCCUUGGCACGUUGCUCGCAGCCUAUCCCUCUUGUCCGGAGCUUCACACGAGUGCUUGGCGCGUUCCUGGCGUCGGUGGCGCCCUGGCUCGCCUGCGCCGGCGUGCUUUGCGGCGGCUGCACCACCGUAACGGACGACAGGGGGCAAAACUACGGCGCAACGCCAUUCGGUGCCGCCCAAACCCCCUAGUGGCUCCGCAUGGCCGUUUCCUCGCCAGCGCACGCAUGCAGCACCGUCGCCGUGGCGCGGCACGCGCAGAGCGCGCUCCCUGCCGCCGACGGGCCCGCGCCGCCCCGUUCCGUCGAGCUCCCCCUAAACAACCCAAUCCCGACGUGGUUAGCAUCUAAACGGAACCAGGGAACACCCACGAUGACGCUCAACCUCUGAACCCUCCCGUGCAACCACUGUGCCGCCGUAAUCACCUCGCCAGAGAACCCUGUUCUCGGCAACCGCCUUGGGGCGGCUAUAUAUAGCACCCCGAGCUUGCUCUCGCCUCCGCACGACUCCACCAUCUCACCAGACCCCGCCCGGCCACUGAACGAGCCUCGAGGGGCCUUUCCUCCUCGACUCCGGCCACCUCCGUCCGCCUCGGGCUCCGGCAUCGUUCUCUCCGGUGAGAACCCCUCCGCCGCCCUACUUUCGACCGUAGCCUCGUACCACCUCUAGUAAGAUAACCCACACCUCAAUUUUGACCUCGCAGCUCUCUCCGGCGAGAUCCACGACCACCCGAACCGCCGUCCGCCGGAGCAAACGUCGCCGCCGACGUGGUACUCGCUGGCGACCACCACCACCUUCCACAGACGCGGAAUGGCUCCCUGAACACAGAGGUACUCUCCGAUCUCCCUGCCUCGUCGUGGAUCACCGCCGGCGACCACCGCGGCUCUUGGGCGCCGACGAGCCCCGGCUCCCUCGUUUGAAAAUUCAAACCUGACGGGUGGGACCCGCCCAUCAGCCUCUCCUGUGUUUUUUUCAGAUCGUUUACUGAAAACGUACUCUGGCAAAUAUGCUUCCACUCGAAGCCGUUUUUUUGUAUUUUUCUGCAAAGCCCCCUGGAAGUUUUCUGUUUCAUUACAGAUGAGUCCUUGGGUUAAAACCCUUAUAACUUUUUAACAGAAAGGAAUUUUUGAGUGAUUCUUUUUCUGUCCUCUUCAAAUUUUUGUCUAGAUUUUUAUCAUAAUUAUUUGAAAAGUAUUUGGAACACUUUUCUGUACACUCACGGUAUUUACGUUGUGUGCGUAUCUUUUCUUAUACCGUAGAUACCGGAGGAGGUGACGGAGCUGCAAACCUCGCACAGUUAGACUCCGACUACUCCGAACCAGGCAAGCAUGUUUGAACUCUUGAUAUGAUGAGUGUUGUUGCAUGUUUGCAUUUUAGUAUAGUCUUGGCAUGUUUAUGAACAUCACCUUGAAUGUAUAUUUCAUGCACAUAAUCGGAAAGUAAGUUUCGGAAAGCAUUAUGUUGUUGGAUACAUAUUUGCAUAGCCAUGUGUUGGCAUGAGGAUGGGUAAGAUGGCAGUGUUGUGACAUGCCAGGCUUAGGCCAGUCCUUUUGACAGCAGUGUCAACAUGAUCAAAUCAUAUUCCCUUCAUUUCCUUCCUGUGCUGUCACAUGUUUUCCGCAAGGGAUAUGGCAUAGUAAGUUGCAACCGUUUUCCUGGUACACACCAAGUGGAGAGGCCGGGAUGAGGGUUCCAUGGCCCUGGAUUAAAGCCCGUCAUCCUGUCAGGGGGCAUGGGUGUUUCCGGUUGGGACCGAGAGGGGGGCACCCCUUAGAGCGCGCGUAUAGAAAUUUGAUCCCAUGCUAUUCGAGGUUGUGGCCUACCCGUCUCAAAGUUUUUCUUGGACGUUGACCAGGGUGAUUCCUGGCAUCGUGAGGUGAAAUGGGUGUGUACUAGUUAAAUGUGUUUCUACUGAAAUACCGUAAACGGAACUAGUCCUUCAUGACUACGGAAAUCCGUUGACUGUGGUCAGUUCAUCCAAACUCUGCAGAGUCUCGAAUCCGUCAAUUGUCUUAUACUUUGUUCAAGUACUAUAUUCAUCUUAUCUUGUCAGGUAUCAACCACAAUGACAAAACUCUGGUGGGAUUUAUGUGUGAUAAAUCCGGUUAACAGAUUAUUCUUGUGGAUGGACUAAUCUUGUCAUUUACAUUUAUUACAAGCCCUGUCUGUGAUGUCGCUCAGACGUCCGACGGUGGCGGACCUGUUAUUUACUUUUGUCAUGAACCCUGUCUGUGAUGUCGCUUAGACGUACGACUAUGGUAUUGCUUUUAAAGCCCUGUCAGUGAUGUCGCUCAGACGUCCGACUGUGGCAUUUCUUUUUAAGCCCUGUCUGUGAUGUCGCUCAGACGUCCGACUGUGGUAUUUCUUUUUAAGCCUUGUCUGUGAUGUCACUCAGACGUCCGACUGUGGUAUUUAUUUUUAAGCCCUGUCUGCGAUGUCGCUCAGACAUCCGACUAUGGUAUUUCUUUUUAAGCCCUGUCUGUGAUGUCGCUCAGACGUCCGACAGUGGUAUUUCUUUUAAAGCCUUGUCUGUGAUGUCGCCCAGACGUCCGACUAUGGCAUUCCUUUUAAAGCCCUUUAUGUGAUGUCGCUUACACGUCCGACUGCGGCAUGCAUUUUAUUUAUUUACCUUUCGAGGCGUCGCUCCAGACACCCGAUCGGUUUUCAGUUAUUUAUUUUAUUCAUCAAGUCCUACAAUAUUAUCGUUAUUUUAUGAGCAUCAUCCUUGUUCGUGACACAUUCAUGCAUUCAUUGAUUAUAUCUUUUGUCCGAACUGUCUUGCGAGUACUUUCAAGUACUCACCUGGCUUGUUGAUUUGGCCAGAUGUUGAUGAAGGCGAUCUCAUGGAAGAAGAGUUUGAUAGCGAGUCCGACGCCUAGAGGAGUCCCAGUCAGUCCCGUGCGAUCCUGUCUUAGUCAUUGUAUUAUCCGCUUCCGCAACCCCGAAUAAAUUCAUCGAGCCUCACCUCGACGCUCGAUGUACUGCUAGUAGAAGUCAAGUUAUCCUCCACCACUUUUCCUCGAGCUAGUAGCAUGCCACCCCACCCCUGUGUCAUAACCGCCCUUAUGUAAGAUAUUGGCGAGUUUGUAAUAAACUGUUGAGCAGCCUCUAUUUAACAAGCGUUGUCUACCAGAAAGGAUGACUUUUCCUAUACUGGGUUUAAAAGAUCGGUUUUAUCAAUAAUCAUUUUAUUGAAAAACCGGUCAUGACAAAGUCAGGCCACUCUCUUUCCAAGAGGUGAGCCGUGUGGGGAUGCCAGAUCUGAAUUCGGGGGCCGCUGCCCAUUUAGGGUCACGCGGCUCGGUGAUGUAGAACCACCCCGAUUGCCACCCCUUGAUGGUUUCCACGAAGGCGCCCUUGAGCCAAGUAACAUUGGGUAUCUUGCCCACCAUGGCGCCUCCGCACUCCGCUUGACUCCCCUUCACAACCUUCGGCUUGACAUUGAAGGUCUUGAGCCACAAGCCGAAGUGGGGCUGGAUGCAGAGGAAAGCCUCGCACACGACGAUAAACGCCGAGAUGUUGAGGAUGAAAUUCGGGGCCAGAUCAUGGAAAUCCAGGCCGUAGUAGAACAUGAGCCCCCGGACAAAGGGGUGAAGUGGGAAGCCCAGUCCGUGGAGGAAAUGGGGAAGGAAUACCACCCUCUCAUGGGGCCUGGGGGUGGGAAUGGGCUUCCCCUCGUCGGGGAGCUGGUGCGCGAUGUCGCUGGACAGAUAUCCGGCGCUGCGCAGCUUCUUGAUGUGCCCCUCCGUAACGGAGAAGGCCAUCCACUUGCCUCCCGCUCCGGACAUAGUUGGAGGAGGUUGAGGUGAGAUGUGCGAACUUGGGCGCUGGAGCUCGAGUGCACCGAGAUGGAUAAGCAGAGGAGGAAGAAGGCGUAGGUAAAAAGGUGGAUCCUUAUCCCCUUAUAUAUGGGCGGACGAAACUAUGCGUCCCCACCAGCCUGAUAAAACUCACUUUUCUCCCAAGCGCCGCAACCAAUGGCGCGGUUGGGUUACCCACGUCCGUAUUGAUGGGAAUCCUGGAAUAAGGGGAACACGAUGUCUGCUUCGACAAGACGUGCCAAGGAAACCGCUUCGCUAAACGCGCUGAGGUGGUAUAAUAAAAACGAUUCAAGUAAAGGCUUGGUUGUGGUGUGAUGUCACGCCACGAAAUACAUCAACAGAUUGAACUUGUGUAAAUAUUAUUCUCUCUACGAUGGAAUGUGGAAUUUAUUUUGCAGAGCCGGACACUAUCCUGGUGUUCACAAUCUUCUAUAAAUUAUUCGAAGGAGGAACCCGCCUUGCAAUGCCGAAGACAAUAUGCGCGCCGGACUCGUCGUCAUUGAAGCCUGGUUCAGGGGCUACUGAGGGAGUCCUGGACUAGGAGGUGUCCAGAUAGCCGAACUAUCAUCAUCGGCCGGACUCCAAGACUAUGAAGAUACAAGAUUGAAGACUUCGUCCCGUGUCCGGAUGGGACUUUCCUUGGCGUGGAAGGCAAGCUUGGCGAUACGGAUAUGUAGAUCUCCUACCAUUGUAACCGACUGUGUAACCCUAGCCCUCUCCGGUGUCUAUAUAAACCGGAUGGUUUUAGUCCGUAGGACACAACAACAAUCAUACCAUAGGCUAGCUUCUAGGGUUUAGCCUCCUUGAUCUCGUGGUAGAUCUACUCUUGUAAUACCCACAUCAUCAAUAUCAAUCAAGCAGGACGUAGGGUUUUACCUCCAUCAAGAGGGCCCGAACCUGGAUAAAACAUCGUGUCCCUUGUCUCCUGUUACCAUCCGCCUAGACGCACAGUUCGGGACCCCCUACCCAAGAUCCGCCGGUUUUGACACCGACACCAGCCUUCUAACAGGCUUUGAGGUAUGUAUUUGAGAUAUGUAAAAAUAUUACCGCAUAGACAAUAGCCCCUGAUGCUCAGUUUGGUGUUCGGAAAGAAAAGCCGAACUGAGGAUCUAAAAGAUAUAUGCAGGAGUCUAACAUAAGUAUGCCAAUAUGGGAAUGUAGGUUGCGCUGCUGACCUCUGCCGCACUGACUGCGGAGGUCGAUGCAUUGAAGCAGAGCCUCGAGCGGUCCGAGAACGAGCUUGUCCUUGCCAAGAAGCAGCUCGCGGACAAGGAAGGUAAUUAAUACCUUAUGUAAGUAUAUAAAAAGAUCUGGUUGCAAAUAAUGACAGGACUAACGUGAGUAUUACAGGGGCCACAACUGAGGUGGCGACCCUGAAGGAAGCGCUGUCCAAGGCCGAAGACAAUGCGGCCGUGGAGCGCAUUGAGCGAGAAAAGCAGGAGGCGCGGGUGGCGGAGGUGCGGCAAGAGCUCCACGCUCUCGUGAAAAAACACAAGAGUUUGGAGCUUGACUCGAAGACUCAAGAGUCCGAGCUUGCCUCGGCCCUUGAGAGCGCCAAAUCUGCCAAGGCUGAAGCCCAAAAAGCCCUCCAGGAAAUUGAGGCGAUGAAGAAGAUAGCGGCGGGUAAGGCAUUCUUUAUGCAAAGCAAACACGUGAAAGAUAAUUACUUGUUACUUACCCGAGUCCGGAGUUCUCCAGGAGCAUUCGCAGAUCUGCCCCGCAGUGUGUCCGACGCUGCCGCAUUCCACCAAGCCGAGGAAGGGAGCUCGACGGAGAACGUGUUCUGGUCCCAGUAUGUUGAGGCCGGACACCCGGUGCCCUUGAGCGACCAGCUGAAGCAGCUGGUCGAGCUCCAUAAGGAAGCCGAACAAGCCAUGAAGGGCCUUAUAGUCCGGCUAUGGCCUGGGGAGGUCAUGCCUGGGAGCUACUUUGGGCUGGUGAAGCGGCUGGCGGAUGCGUGUCCAUGUCUUGAAGUCAUCAAGCGCUUUGUAUGCAUCGAAGGCGCCCGUAGGGCCCUUGCCCGUGUUAAAGUACACUGGGGUAAGAUGGAUGCUGAGAAGCUGGUGACAGAUGGGCCACCGGAGGGCAAGGAGCAUCGCAAGCCUGAGAUGUGUAUUAUGAGGGUGUCCUGAAGGGUGCCCGCCUUGUGGCGGGUGAAUGUUCCAAGGAUGUAAUUUUUGAGUAAACUCGCUUGUGUUAUCAUGUGCGCUGAAAACUUGUUCAUAUGCGCUAAGCAACGCUUUUUGAAUUUAAAAUAUUACCUUCUGUGCGGCGGUUUAUUAAAUCUGAGAGAUGGCGAGUCGUCGGCUUCUACCCCCAUGCCACGAGUGCUGGGGUGUUCGGGAUAAACCUGAGCACUCUUGUUCCCAUUCUUGGGUCCUUCGAGGGAGGCGCUCAGCACAACGAACAAGGCAAUCGGACUAUAAUGCUUUAUCACUCUCACUUAGCCAUAGAAUUCUAUAAUUUUAAAUUUCGGCGAAGCCCCUAGUAUUCGGAAGACCGAGUCUGGGGGCGCUAUCCACGCCUAGGCCGGACAAAGCCAGCUCCUCUCUAUAAGCGGCAUAAUCCUUUAGGGACUCGAAACCUCUCGAACAGCGACCGACUCUCGCCCUAUCAUGACGGACAGUUUUAGCUUUCUCUACUGAGGUGCUUAACCCAGCUUAACCGGGGCACAAUCGCAGUAGUUCUCCCAGCGCUACCUUAGCUGAUAUAACGGAACGUAAGGUACCAAAACAUGGGAGCCAGGCAAACCCAACUAUUGACCCAAGACAUGAUUCGGAGCCGAUGCAUAUAAUGCUAUAAGUUCGGGGUGCCGCACUCGUGAGAGUGUUCGGACUUCUCACACCAUAUUCUGGGGUACUUAAGCCCCUGGUGUAUUGGCCGUACCAAAGUGUAUGGUUGCAUAAUGUCAUAACUAAACAUAUUUACAUAAAAAAAGAAUGCAAUAAUAGACAAGAGCUAUCUAUUGUUUAUUAAAAGGAUACUGUGAAAGCAGAACGAUACAAAUAGUGUGAUAAGCAAGAGAUGGGAUUAUUUGACAUGUCCCCCUCCAGGGGCAAGCUGCGAGACUUUAUGUAAGACAUGUAUUUAGCUCGUUAUAGAGACCACCUGGACAUUCGAUGUAGCUUGCUGCCUCCCUGGCUGUUGCAUCAUGUGUUCGGCGAUUGUACUGCCGGACAGGCCUUCCGGAGAGUGGAGUCCUGAAAGUAAGAAAAAAGAAUGACAAAAUCGGGAGCCCCUAGUGCGGUUGAGCAACAUUUUGGGCGUGUCGUGGUUGUGCCCCUCCCCUUAUGCACAUGGUAUUUCCAGAGCGUAAUUAUGUACGCGUGGUACUGGUUUCGCAAUUUUGCGAGGGCUGGGGUUGGGGCCGCACUGCUACGCUUGCUCGGAACGUGCCAGGCGGUCUUGUUGUAGGUUACUCCGGGCACGCUUGACGGUGUCCGGACGUUUAAUAGCCGAACUGGAGAAUUGCCUUGAGAGGCUACUUUGUACUUCCGCCGCGAGGGCCGCCGUAUGCUCCUCCGUUCGGAGAGAGCGUUCGGUGUUUCCAUUGACCGUAAUGACUCCUCGAGGGCCUGGCCUCUUGCGCUUGAGGUAUGCAUAGUGUGGCACCGCAUUGAACUUUGCAAAUGUGGUUCGUCCGAGCAGCGCGUGAUAGACACUGCGAAACGGGACUAUGUUGAAGAUUAACUCCUCGCUUCGGAAAUUAUCCGGGGAUCCGAAGACCACUUCGAGUGUAACUGAGUCUGUACAGUUGGCCUCUACACCUGGUAUGAUGCCUUUAAACGUCGUCUUUGUGGGUUUAAUCCUUGAGGGAUCUAUGCCCAUUUUUCGCACUUUAUCCUGAUAAAGCAGGUUCAGGCUGCUGCCGCCGUCCAUAAGGACUCUAGUGAGGUGAAAUCCGUCAAUGAUUGGGUCUAGAACCAAUAUGGCGAAUCCGCCGUGGCGGAUGCUAGUGGGGUGGUCCCUUCAAUCAAAAGUGAUCGGGUAGGAGGACCACGGGUUGAACUUUGGGGCGACUGGAUCCAACGCAUAUACGUCCCUGAGUGCACGCUUCCGCUCCCUUUUGGGGAUGUGGGUUGCGUAUAUCAUCUUCACCGUCCGCGCUUGUGGGGGAAAGCCCUUCUGUCCCCUAUUGUUCAUCGGCCGGGGCUCCUCUUCGUCAUCGCUAUGCAGCCCCUUGUCUCUUUUUUCGGCACUUAACUUGCCUACAUGCUUGAACACCCAACAAUCCCUGUUGGUGUGAUUGGCUGGUUUUUCGGGGGUGUCGUGUAUCUGGCAUGAGCGAUCGAGUAUUCGGUCCAAACUGGACGGGCCCGGAGUAUUUCUUUUGAAUGGCUUUUUCCGCUGACCGGGUUUAGAGCCUCUAAGUCCAGCAUUAACUACCGUAUCCUAAGCAUUGUCGUUGUUAAUGCGGCGCUUGUGCUUGUUGCGACGUGACCUGCCAUUGUUGUCCUUGGUAUCCGAAUUACCAGGGUUCUUGGUCAUGUUAUUACUAUGAGCUAGCCAGCUGUCUUCUCCCGCGGAAAAGCGGGUCAUGAGUGUUGUGAGGGCUGCCAUGGAUUUCGGCUUUUCCUGUCCUAGGUGCCGGGCAAGCCAUUCGUCACGGAUGUUAUGUUUGAAGGCUGCUAGGGCCUCUGCGUCUGGACAGUCGACUAUUUGAUUUUUCUUGGUUAGGAACCGUGUCCAGAAUUGUCUGGCCGAUUCCUUUGGCUGCUGAAUUAUGUGGCUUAGGUCAUCGGCGUCUGGUGGUCGCACAUAGGUGCCCUGGAAAUUGUCGAGGAAUGCGGCUUCCAGGUCCUCCCAGCAACCAAUUGACUCUGCCGGCAAGCUGUUAAGCCAAUGCCGAGCUGGUCCUUUAAGCUUGAGUGGGAGGUAUUUGAUAGCGUGUAGAUCAUCACCGCGGGCCAUGUGGAUAUGAAGGAGAUAAUCCUCGAUCCAUACCGCAAGAUCUGUUGUGCCAUCGUAUGAUUCAAUGUUACGGGUUUAAAACCCUCGGGGAUUUGAUGAUCCAUUACUUCAUCUGUGAAGCAUAGUGGGUGUGUGGCGCCUCUGUACUGGGCUAUAUCACGACGUAGCUCAAAUGAGCUUUGUCUGCUGUGUUCGGCCUAGCCAUAUUUGCCAUAUCCGGCAUGAAAGUUAUCGUCACGUGUCGUGGGGCGCCCACGCGAUCCGUAGAUCGAUCUUGUUUUCCUUGCCUUGUCCUCCAAUAUGUCUCGUAGGUCUGGCGCAUUUCCCCGUGCCUUGGUAUUUUUUGAGUGACGCUGGGGUGCGGCUUGAGUGGAUGGACGAGAGGCCUCUCUAUCGCGGCCACGAGGUGGUCGGUCGGCCGCGUCGUGUGCUGGUGAUGUAGGUUUAGGUGCUUCCUCCUCUAAUCGGGGUAGCAGCAUGCGCGUUGGGUAGCUCUUGGAGGGGCGUUCGACUUCGUACUCUUCGGCCGCAAGGACUUCAGUCCAUCUGUCGGCUAGCAAGUCUUGGUCAGCUCUAAGCUGCUGCUGUUUUUUCUUGAGGCUGCUCGCUGUGGCCAUAAGCCUGCGUUUGAAACGCUCUUGUUUGACGGGAUCCUCAGGCAUGACGAAUUCGUCGUCGUCGAGGCUUGCCUCGUCUUCGGAUGGAGGCAUGUAAUUAUCGCCCUCUACCUCUCUGUCUGCCGCUCUCUCAUGAGGGUUGGCUUCUCCAUCCUCCUGUGCUGAAUCCUGCUGGAGGGGGUUGUCUUCAACACUGUCCGGAGUGUUAUUAUCUCCCAUGCCGGAAUCGCUGUUUUUGCUUUGGCGGGAUUUAGAGCGGCGCCGCUGACGUCGGCGCUUAGGCUGCUUCUUGGAGGGGUCAUCCUCCGUUAUUCCAUCGCCAUUCCCUUCUUUUGGGGUGUCCACCAUGUAUAUGUCGUAUGACGAGGUGGCCUUCCAGUGCCCUAUAGGCGCUGGUUCUUGGUCGUCUCCUGCAUCGGCAUCCAUACCGUCGAUGUCUUCGGAGUCGAAGUCGAGCAUGUCGGUUAAAUCAUCGACAGUGGCUACGAAGUGCAUGGUGGGUGGGCUUUGAAUUUCUUCAUCGUCCGCAUCCCAACCUUGCUGACCAUAGUCCGGCCAGGGCUCUCCUGAUAAAGAGAGGGACUUUAGUGAAUUCAGAAUGUCGCCGAAGGGCGAGUGCUGAAAGAUGUCUGCGACGGCGAACUCCAUGAUCGGCGCCCAAUUGGGUUCGAUCGGCAGGGGCGCGGAAGGUUUGGAGUCUGGAAAGGAGUCCGGCACCUUGGAGUCACGAGCUUCGCAAAGGACAAGGCUGUUGUUGGGCUUGAUCGCCGUAGAGAUUGCAGCCCCCGAGGCGGUGUCCAGCCACCCGUCCUCGAUUGGCGCGGUCGGCUCCAAGCUAAGGGUCGGAGCGGACACUGGGGCGGCCUCCUGGGCACUGUUCGGCGGCAGAGCUAGAUCAUGCCCAUCAUGACAGUGCGGCGCGCUCGGCUGUGGCUCAAACCCGUCGAAGAUCAAGUCUCCGCGGAUGUCAGCCGUGUAGUUCAAACUUCCAAAUCUGACCUGAUGGCUAGGGGCGAAGCUUUCGAUCUGCUCCAGAUGGCCAAGCGAAUUGGCCCGCAGUGCAAAGCCGCCGAAUACGAAGAUCUGUCCGGUGAGAAAAGUCUCACCCUGGACCGCAUUGUUGUUGAUGAUCGGAGGAGCCAUCGGGCCUAAAGAUGAAGACACAGAGGAACUCUCAAUGAAAGCACCAAUGUCAGUGUCAAAACCGGCAGAUCUCGGGUAGGGGGUCCCGAACUGUGCGUCUAGGCGGAUGGUAACAGGAGACAAGGGACACGAUGUUUUUACCCAGGUUCGGGCCCUCUCAAUGGAGGUAAAACCCUACUCAUACUUGAUUAAUAUUGAUGAUAUGGGUAGUACAAGAGUAGAUCUACCACAAGAUCAGAGAGGCUAAACCCUAUAAGCUAGCCUAUGGUAUGAUUGUUGUUCGUCCUACAGACUAAAACCCUCCGGUUUAUAUAGACACUGGAGAGGGCUAGGGUUAGACAGAGUCGGUUACAAUGGGAGGAGAUCUACAUAUCAGUAUCGCCAAGCUUGCCUUCCACGCCAAGGAAAGUCUCAUCCGGACACGGGACGAAGUCUUCAAUCUUGUAUCUUCAUAGUCCAGGAGUCCGGCCAAUGGUUAUAGUCCGGUCAUUCGGACACCCCCUAAUCCAGGACUCCCUCAACGAGCUUGACAACGCGAAGGCCGAGGCAUCCCUUGCGGCCUUGCGAGAGGCCUGCUCUCGAGCUCAGGAGGAGGCUUUGGAAGCAGAUUAUCAUCGCGAGAUGCAAAGAAGCGCGUGUGGGAGCUCCAAGCCUGGAGCGCCUCCCUGGAGCAGCAAGUGGAGUUGUGCCGAGACGCCCUUGCGUCGCUCUCCGGAAGCGUGAGGAAGCACCGACGCAGGAGGCCGCCGAGCGCAAUCUUGAUCUUGAGAGAUUGGAGACGAGGGAGCGCCAGGUUGCCCAGGCGGAGGACGAUUUUGGCGUGUGCGAGGCUCGAGACCAGGAGGAGGUCGACCGCCGCGUGGCGGAGGCUCACGCAGAUCUUGUGAGCAGGUAUGACCUGAAGCUGAAGCUGGUUGAAGCCGAGGCUGCGGGCAGGACUGCCGCCCUUAGGUCCAAGUUGACUAAAGCGGAGCAGCGCGCGGAAGCUGCCGCAGCCGCCUUGGUCUCGGCGCAGGCCGAGCUGACCUCCGCCCGCGCCGAGCUACUUCUUCUUCAUCAGUGGUUUGACGAUGCUGAGUCCAUUGCGGUGCAGAACAGAGAGGAAGUGCUCAAACGGCAGACGCUGGAGCACAUGCACGCCCCCAUGCUCCAAGAGCUCAGGAACAGGGCCAAUGCGGCCCUGGGCAACAUCUGUGAUGAGGACGCCCCGCAUCCUCAUGUGACCAACUACGCCGGUCAUCUCCACUUCUUCACUGAUGUGGUGACGCGCCUGGAGAACCGCUCCGAGAGAGCUCGCCAACUUGUCAAGGAGAGGAGCCGCAGCCUGCUUGGGUGUGCAUUUUCCCGCGUCUUCAGCCAUCUUCAGAACACCGAUCCCAACUUUGACUUUGAUGCCGUCAUCGCCCCGGUGCCCGAGGCCACUCGAGGCGACCUAGCGUGGUGUGUGGAGGACAAUGUGGAUGCGCUUGUUAGGGCCUUUGCUUCCGACAAUGACGGGGUGGUAGUCGUGGCGGAUGGUGGCGACGUGGUCGAUGGUGGUGACGGUGGCGUCGUGAUGGUGAUGCCAGCGAUAGCAACAGUGGCACCAGCGAUGCGUCUGGAGGUGACUAGGAGGAUGCGGUGAGCGAUAUGUCUGGCUGAUCCCGUGUUUCUCUAUUGUUUAUCCUGCACACAAAAGCUCGGGCGCGGCCCCGAAGGUUGUAAGAGCAUUUUGGGAGGUGAAGCCCUCAUGUAAAAAGAUUGCCGGCCGUAUGCUUUUAGGAAUGAUGUUGGACAUGUGCCUCCAUGAUCCUACGGGCCCUGCGGCAAGCUUGUUGUUGUGGUUUACCUUUAGCCAGGACAAGUCCUGAAUAGGCUCGCGGGGUCGUGAGCCCCCGAGCAUCCCCUAAGUGACCUGCCGACCCGGUCGAGUGGGCCUCGCAAGAGCGAGUAUCGGCCGUGGUACGGCAUGCGCACAAUGUAUGUGCGCUUCGCCUAGCCCCGCCCGCGAGGGGCUCGCGAGGGGGAGGCAGCCGGUGCGAACUCCAAAUUGGGGCAGAAACUAGAACACAAGAAAUCACACGAGCGAGAAAAGACCCCCCCUCCCCCCGUACACGCAAAUGCAAAUUCAACUUCAACUUAAAUACGAAGAAAGGACGCUCGACCACAGAAAGGGAGGCAAAAAGUAAAAGGCCGCGUCUGGCGCCUAGUCUAGUCUUUGACGUCUUCUCACCAGCGCGGAGCUAAGUGCUUCCACUAGGCAUGGGAGGGAGCCCCCAAGGCCCAAGGGCGGCUCUCCGGAGACUGCGGGGCAUGUACAUCCCCACUCAUUAUUACGUGAGAGUGUCACGGGCGGCGAGCUUGACAGGCACUGGGCCUUCUUCACAGGCACCGGGCCUUGCUUCAUAUCGCCAGAUGAGGUCCCCGCCUUGCACCACCCACGACCACCAUUGAUGGUGACCGGAGACCAAGGACGACGUCAAUGGGGCAAAGGGGACACCAGCGGCGCCCUCGGCGACCAUGGGUCCUCUACCGGGGGUAGGCUUUGCAGCACCUCCCCGGUAGAGAGCCUACCUCCGGGGGACGCCUUGCUUUGUGCACCGUGGGGAGGGGCCUGGCUCCCGGGCCCUCUCCUGCAACCCCCAGUGCAAUCCUCCUGGCGGAGGGAGGCUGCCGACCUGGGGCAGCCGUCCGCUACUGUGACCUGCACCUCCUGCGACCCAUGGUUAGCAUAAGCUUGCUCCCGAGGAAUUAGCGGUACCCGGUAGCUGCUAUUUGUCAGCGCGGUUGGUGCGGCUUCCUUGAGGCUCCUGAAAAGGCUCGGCUUCUGGUGUCUCUUCCUCCCAGCCUGACCCGCGGAACGAGCGAAGGUCGUCUUCAAGCACGUACUCCCGAUCCACCAUGCGAGGUGAUACGUCUCCGUCGUAUCUACUUUUCCAAACACUUUUGCCCUUGUUUUGGACUCUAACUUGUAUGAUUUGAAUGGAACUAACCCGGACUGAUGUUGUUUUCGGCAGAAUUGCCAUGGUGUUGUUUUAUGUGCAGAAAAUAAAAGUUCACAGAAUGACCUGAAACUCCACGGAACACCUUAGAAAAAACAAUAAAAAAUCCUCGCCAAAGAUGAAGACCAGGGGACCCACACCCUGUCCAUGAGGGUGGGGGGCGCGCCCCCUACCUCGUGGGCCCCCUGGUGGCCCUCCGAUGCCAACUCCAACUCCAUAUAUUGGCUUUUGGGGAGAAAAAAAUCGGGGAGAAGAAAUCAUCGCGUUUUACGAUACGGAGCCGCCGCCAAGCCCUAAUAUCUCUCGGGAGGGCUGAUGUCGAGUCCGUUCGGGGCUCCGGAGAGGGGGAUUCGUCGUCGUCGUCAUCAUCAACCAUCCUCCAUCACCAAUUUCAUGAUGCUCACCGCCGUGCGUGAGUAAUUCCAUCGUAGGCUUGUUGGAUGGUGAUGGGGUGGAUGAGAUUUAUCAUGUAAUCGAGUUAGUUUUGUUAGGGUUUGAUCCCUAGUAUCCAUUAUGUUCUGAGAUUGAUGUUGCUAUGACUUUGCUAUGCUUAAUGCUUGUCACUAGGGCCCGAGUGCCAUGAUUUCAGAUCUGAACCUAUUAUGUUUUCAUGAAUAUAUGUGUGUUCUUGAUCCUAUCUUGAAAGUCUAUAGUCACCAACUAUGUGUUAUGAUCCGGCAACCCCGAAGUGACAAUAAUCGGGACCACUCCCGGUGAUGACCAUAGUAUGAGGAGUUCAUGUAUUCACUAUGUGCUAAUGCUUUGUUCCGGUUCUCUAUUAAAAGGAGGCCUUAAUAUCCCUUAGUUUCCAAUAGGACCCCGCUGCCACGGGAGGGUAGGACAAAAGAUGUCAUGCAAGUUCUUUUCCAUAAGCACGUAUGACUAUAUACGGAAUACAUGCCUACAUUACAUUGAUGAACUAGAGCUAGUUCUGUGUCAUCCUAUGUUAUGACUGUUACAUGACGAACCACAUCCGACAUAAUUAUCCAUCACUAAUCUUGUGCCUACGAGUUUUCCAUAUACUAGUUCUUGCUUAUUUAUUUUUCCAUUGCUACUGUUACAAUCACUACAAAAUACCAAAAACAUUACUUUUGUUUUCUUUACUUUUGUUACCGUUACCACCACUAUCAUAUUACUUUGCUACUAAACACUUUGCUGCAGAUACUAAGUUUCCAGGUGUGGUUGAAUUGACAACUCAGCUGCUAAUACUUGAGAAUAUUCUUUGGCUCCCCUUGUGUCGAAUCAAUAAAUUUGGGUUGAAUACUCUACCCUCGAAAACUGUUGCGAUCCCCUAUACUUGUGGGUUAUCAAGACCUUUUUCUGGCGCCAUUGCCGGGGAGCAUAGCUCUAUUCUUUGAGUAACUUUGGAUUUAUAUUUGCUGGACACUAUGAAGAACCUGAAAGACAAUCGAACUACUAUUUUGCCCUCAACUACGAGGGGAGGUAAGGAACUGCCAUCUAGCUCUGCACUAGAUUCUCCUUCCGUUAUAAGUAAGCUUGCGACACCUAAACUUGCUACUGCUAUGAACUCUGAUAUGUCGCAUGUUAUUGAUGAUGCCACUUCUGCUAUGCAUGAUACUUAUGAUGAAACUACUUCUAUGCCUGAUAAUACUGUGCCUCUUGGGAAAUUUCUCGAUGAGCAAAUUGCUAGGUCUAGAGAAAGAGGAAUUAUUCAACCUGAAUACGAUGAUGAUAGGAUGAUGAGAAUAUGCCUGCUAUUCCUAAGGGUUAUCUUUUUGAUGCGAAAUCUUCUGCAGUUAUUUUUGCUUGCCAGGAUAGAUAUGAACUUAAGAGGUUGCUAGUUAAAUGGAGUAAAGAAUCUCUUAGAGAUAGAAUGAGACCCGACCCUGCUUUUGCUACUUCACCUAUUUGUGUUCCCAAUAAGGAUUAUUAUGAUUUUUCUGUUGAUCCAAAUAUAAUUACUAUGGUUGAAUCUGAUCCUUUCUACGGUUAUGAAUCUGAAACUGUUGUGGCACAUCUUACUAAGUUGAAUGAUAUAGCUGCCCUGUUUACCAAUAAUGAGAGAUCGCGCUACCUUUAUUUACUCAAAAUAUUUCCUUUCUCAUUAAAGGGUGAUGCUAAGAUAUGGUUUAAUUCUCUUGAUCCUGGUUGUGUGCAAAGUCCCCAGGAUAUGAUUUAUUACUUCUCUGCUAAAUAUUUCCCUGCUCAUAAUAAACAAGCUGCUUUGAGGGAAAUAUACAACUUCGUGCAAAUUGAAGAAGAGAGUCUCCCACAAGCUUGGGGGAGGCUUCUCAAGUUACUUAAUGCUUUGCCUGAUCAUCCUCUUAAGAAACCUGAAAUACUUGAUAUCUUUUAUAAUGGACUAACUUAUGCUUUCAGAGAUUACCUGGAUAGUUGUGCUGGUUCUCUUUUCAGGGAAAGAACACCAGAUGAAGCUGAAAUUCUAUUGAAUAAUAUGUUGACAAAUGAAAAUAAUUGGGCACCUCCUGAGCCAGCUCCUGAGCCAAUUACUGACCCUAUUACUAAACCAACUCCAAAGAAGAGAGGUGUUCUAUUUCUCAGUCCCGAAGAUAUGCAAGAGGCAAAGAAAUCUAUGAAAGAAAAAGGUAUUAGAGCUGAGGAUGUUAAGAAUUUACCUCCUAUUGAAGAAAUACAUGGUCUUAAUUUACCGCGUGUUGAAGAAGUAUAUGAUCUCAACUACUUAUUUACUGAAGAACCCGAUACCCCGACACAUGUAGUAAAGGUAAAUUCUCUCUAUAGAUAUGAUAAAGCUGAAGUCCCUCCUACUAAAAUUGCUAGUCAUUGCUUGGAUGAGUUUGAUGACUUUAUGUUUAAGCAAGAUGACUUUAAUGCUUAUUUUGGUAGACAAUUAAAACAGAAUACCUUUAUGAUUAAACGCUUGGGUGAUUAUAUGGUUGAUAUUAGAGGUGAACUUAAACUUGUUAGCAAACAUGCUUCUAUGGUUACCACUCAAGUAGAACAAGUACUUAAAGCUCAGAAAGAAGUGCUUGAUGAAAUGAAUAGUAAGAAAAAUGAUUAUGCUGUUAGAGUGGCUACUAGAACUAGUAGAAUGACUCGGGAACCUUUGUAUCCUGAAGGCCACCCUAAGAGAAUCGAGCAAGAUUCUCAGAGGAAUAAUAUCGAUGUACCUAGUUCUUCUAAGAGGAAGAAAAAGAAAAAUGAUAGGACCUUGCAAACUUCGGGUGAACCUAUUACUGAACCACCUGAGAAUCCGAAUGAUAUCUCUAUUUCUGAUGCUGAAACAAAAUCAGGUGAUGAACAUGAACCUAGUGAAAAUGUUAAUGAUAAUGUUCAUGUUGAUACUCAACCUAGUAAUGAUAAUGAUGUAGAAGUUGAACCUGUUGUUGAUCUUGAUAACCCACAAUCAAAGAAUCAACGUUAUGAUAAAAGAGACUUUGUUGCUAGGAAACAUGGUAAAGAAAGGGAGCCAUGGGUUUAGAAACCCAUGCCUUUUCCUCCGAAACCAUCCAAGAAAAAGGAUGAUGAGGAUUUUGUGCGCUUUGCUGAAAUGAUUAGACCCAUCUUUUUGCGUAUGCGAUUAACUGAUGUGCUCAAAACAAAUCCUUAUGCUAAGUAUAUGAAGGAUAUCAUUACUAAUAAAAGAAAGAUACCUGAAACUGAAAUUUCCACCAUGCUUGCUAAUUAUACUUUUAAGGGUGGAAUACCAAAUGAACUUGGGGAUCCCGGAGUACCUACUAUACCAUGCUCCAUUAAGAGAAAUUAUGUUAAAACUGCUUUAUGUGAUCUUGGAGCCGGUGUUAGUGUUAUGCCUCUUUCUUUAUAUCAUAGACUUGACUUGAACAAGUUGACACCUACUGAAAUAUCUUUGCAAAUGGCUGAUAAAUCAACUGCUAUACCUGUCGGUAUUUGUGAGGAUGUGCUGUUAUGAUUGCAAACGUUACUAUUUUAAUGGACUUUGUUAUUCUUGAUAUUCCUGAGGAUGAUAGUAUGUCUAUUAUUUUUGGAAGACCUUUUCUUAAUACUGCAGGGGCUGUUAUUGAUUGCAACAAAGGCAAUGUCACUUUUCAUGUUAAUGGCAAUGAGCACACAGUACACUUUCCGAGGAAACAACCUCAAGUUUAUAGUAUCAACUCUAUUGGAAAAAGUAUGAUAUUCUUAUUGUUGGGGAUUUUCAUAUCCCCGUUGAGGUAACUUAGUGUUAUUCGAAAUUUCUCCGGUUCCAUGAUUAUCGGAAUGAGUUUGUUAACAAGACUUGAUCAACCUUGUUAGUGGAUUCUUUUUUAUGACAUGGGAUGGAUGAAACUAGAAGCACAACCUUCUGUACCCUCUUUACAUUUUCUGUUAUUUAGUAGAAAUAAAGUAAAAUAGUAUUUUUCUGUCUGUCUCCCGACUUAUCCGUGCAAUAUAAAAGUAUCCCGAAAAUAAAAGUCCUCAAAAUGCCAUGCCAAUUUAAUAUGUUUUUUUUAGGAAUAUUUGAGGAUUUACUAUACAAAAAUUACCGCGGGGGGAGCUACCACCUGGUCACGAGGGUGGAGGGCGCGCCCUACCCCCCUGGGCGCGCCCCCUACCUCGUGGGCCCAUGGUGGCCCUCCUCCACUUAUUCCUGCACCCAUCUUCUUCCUCUGCCUCACACAAACACGAAAAACCAACUCAAGCACGAGUUCCAGCCCCCGUUGAUGUGAUUUUCGAUCUCCUUGCUCAAGGCACCUCUCGCAAAACUGCUUGGGGAGAUUGUUCCUUGGUAUGUGACUCCUCCAUUGGUGCAAUUAGUUUUUGUUCUAGUGCUUUAUUCAUUGCAAAUUUGUGCUGCAUAGGUGACCAUGUUCUUGAGCUUGCAUGUCAAAUUUAUAUGGUUCUAAGUAGUUCCAAUGCUUUAUAUGGGCUCUAGGCACUUGUGGGAGUUGUUACUAUCAAUUUUAUUGAAGUUGGUUCACUUUUAUUUGAAGUUACUAAAAAUUUCAGAUUGUUUCAGAAAUAAUGAAGAGACUUUUGAUGGGCUCAUCGAGCCUAAGCUCGAAGGAAAAACAAAAGGAAGAAGAGCAGAAGCCCAAAUUUAAUUUGCCUCGCACCGCGGAGGUCCGGCCGUGUGAAUGGCCUUCCGAUGACUUUUUGAGGAGAGCCGGGAUUUAUGAGGAUUUCAAUUUAUUGAUUGAGAAUGCCGGCCUCACCGACUUCCUCCGCGACCAACGUCAUUAGUACCUCUUACUCACAAAUACUUUUGUGCAAAACUUCUACUUUUUCCCUAAGAAAUCACCUCCAUCAGUAGAGUUUCAUUUAUAUGACGUUGUUAAAGAGAUGACAUUAGCUGAAUUCCGCGAGGUUUGCAGAAUACCCUUUGAGGGCACCUUAGAUGAACCCCACCAUAACGAAGUAGAAGCUUUUAUUAACACUAUCACUAUGGGAGAAACCAGGAAGGUUUCUGAUGCAAGGAUCACUAGCAUACAUUUUCCUGUUUUAUGCUACUUUGCCUUAUUUGCUAGUCGUUGCUUGAUUGGACGCGGAAACUGUGGGAACCUUAGUGUUCCUGAUAUUAGCAUUUUGUUCCAUGGUUUAUACCGCAAUAACUCUGUUAGUAUGGGUGGAAUUGUUGCUAGAUGGUUAAGUCUGAACCGUACUAAGGGCCCCAUCUUUGGAGGCAUUUAUGCUUCACGCCUAGCUGAACAUUUUGAAAUACCUAUUAGGCAUGAGGAGAAAGAGGAAACAUCACUGCCCCAUGCUUAUUUAGAUUAUAAGAGUAUGAUAGUGAAUGAUUUUCUUAUUAAGAGUCGCGAAGGGGAGCUCAAAUACAAAUUAUACUUUGAUAAACAUCAUCCCGAGACUAUUACUUUGCCUGCUCCUUCUUUGUUUAACUUAUCGGUAGGUCCUCACAUCGUUCUGUUGUCGGCUAUUCAAGCCUAUCGGAAUCCUGCACCAGCCCCGGAACCGGAACCACAAGAUGAGCCUCCACAACUAUCUGUUUAUUCUUGGGAUCCAGAGGAGGUUGCCAGUCAGUGGCAGCCAGAGCCUUCUUCAUCACAGUAUGACCCCAGCUUCACCUACGGAUAUCCGCCAGGCUAUCCAUGGCAAUAGACCAACUUAGGCCAAAAGCCUAAGCUUGGGGGAGUACGUAUUUCCCACCGAUAUUACAUUUAUGUUCACACACUCAUUGCUAGAUGUCGGUGCUCAUACUCUUUCAUUGUAAUAUCCAUGUUAGUUUAUUUUCUUUUUCCUGCUUUCUUCUUGUGUGUUUGAUAAACCUUAAGAAAAACAAAAAAAAUUAGUAGUAGUUUAUUUCUUUGUUGUAGUAAUUAAAAAGAAAACCCAAAAAUAUUUCCCGUUCUUCUUUUGCUUGUUGGGAGCUUUCUCAUGUAAAUAGUUUUUAUUUCUUUUCCUUUCUUUGGGGGUCGAGAAGACCAUAUUGCAAAUGCUUAGUGGCUCAUAUAUGCAUGAUUGUUUAUUUAACUUAGAGCCCAUAUUAGUUGUCUUCUCUCUUGAGUUGAAUGCUUGCAGAUUCCAGCUUUGUCCAAUGCAUGUGCACUCUUACUAUUAUACACAUCGUUCGGUCGUGCAAGUGAAAGGCAAUAAUGAUGAUACAUGAUGGACUUAUUGGGAUGAGAAAAGCUGGUAUGAACUCAACUUCUCUUGUUUUUGUAAAUAUGAUGAUUCAUCGUUUCUGAUUCAGCUAUUAUGAAGUAAACAUAUUUGCAAUGACAUUUAGAGAUUAUAGUUGCUUGUGCCAUGCUUGAUUAGCUAUGAGUUAUAAUGGUUUACCUUGCGUGCCAACAUGCUAUUAGAAUGAUUGUGAUGUGGUAUGAUGGGAUGAUAUCCUCCUUUAAAUGAAUUGAGUGACUCGACUUGGCACAUGUUCACGCAUGUAGUUGAAUCAAAUCAACAUAGCAUUCAUGAUAUUUAUGUUCAUGGUAGAUUAUAUCCUAGUCAUGCUUGUAUUCGGUGUAAAUUAAUUUUAAUGCAUGUUUACGACUGUUGUCGCUCUCUCGGUUGGUCACUUCCCAGUCUUUUGCUAGCCUUCACCUGUAUUAAGCGGGAAUACUGCUUGUGCAUCCAAACUCCUUAAACCCCAAAGUUGUUCCAUAUGAGUCCACUAUACCUUCCUAUAUGCGGUAUCUACCUGCCAUUCCAAGUAAAUUUGUAUGUGCCAAACUCCAAACCUUCAAAUGAAAUUCUAUUUUGUAUGCUCGAGCAGCUCAUGUUUCAACUAGGGCUGCCCUUAUCUUCCAUGUUAGGCGGUUAUUCUCAAGAGGAGUGGACUCCGCUCCUCAUUCACGAGAAAAAUGGUUGGUUGCCGGGAUGCCCAGUCCCAUGCUUUAUGCAAACUAAAUCAAAAUAACUGCAAACCAAACUCCCCUUGGGACCCGUUGAAUGUUGGAGGCACUCAUUGUUUCGAGCAAGCCAUGGAUUGAUGCUUGUGGAGGAGGGGGAGUAUAAACUUUACCAUUCUGUUUGGGAACCGCCUAUAAUUUGUGUAGCAUGGAAGAUAUCGUCAUCUCAUAGUUGUUGCGUUGACAGCAAAAGUAUGCCGCUCAAAAUGUUAUUCAAUCUCUAUUUUAAAAAUCGAGCUCUGGCACCUCUACAAAUCCCUGCUUCCCUCUGCGAAGGGCCUAUCUAUUUACUUUAUGUUGAGCCAUCAUCCUUCUUAUUAAAAAGCACCCGCUGGAGAGCACACUGUCGUUUGCAUUCAUUAUUAUUUGUCUAUAUUGGGUAUGACUUGACUGGAUCUCUUUUACCAUGAAUUACAAUGUUUAGUCAGUCCUUGAUCUUUAAAGGUGCUCUGCAUUUAUGUUUUGCGGUCUCAUAAGGGCUAGCGUGAUACCAUUUCGUUAUAUCAUGUUAUGAUUAUUUUGAGAACGUGUUGUCAUCCGAGUUUUAUUAUUAUGACUCGCUAGCUGAUUAUGUUAUUGAUAUGAGUAAUUGUGAGACCUUUGUGUUAUUGUGAGUAUGGUUAGUUCAUAAUAAUUGCUGAAACUUGAAUGCUGGCUUUUCAUGUUUACAACAACAAGAGCAAAUAGAGUUUGUAAAAGUUUUUCUUUUUCUCUUUCAGUUUGUCAACUGAAUUGCUUGAGGACAAGCAAGGGUUUAAGCUUGGGGGGAGUUGAUACGUCUCCGUCGUAUCUACUUUUCCAAACACUUUUGCCCUUGUUUUGGACUCUAACUUGUAUGAUUUGAAUGGAACUAACCCGGACUGACGCUGUUUUCAGCAGAAUUGCCAUGGUGUUGUUUUAUGUGCAGAAAAUAAAAGUUCUCAGAAUGACCUGAAACUCCACGGAACACCUUAGAAAAAACAAUAAAAAAUCCUUGCCAAAGAUGAAGACCAGGGGGCCCACACCCUGUCCAUGAGGGUGGCCCCCCCUGGGUGUGCCCCCCUACCUCGUCGGCCCCCUGGUGGCCCUUCGACGCCAACUCCAACUCCGUAUAUUGGCUUUCGGGGAGAAAAAAAUCGAGGAGAAGAAAUCAUCGCGUUUUACAAUACGGAGCCGCCACCAAACCCUAAUCUCUCUCGGGAGGGCUGAUCUGGAGUCCGUUCGGGGCUCCGGAGAGGGGGAUUCGUCGCCGUCGUCAUCAUCAACCAUCCUCCAUCACCAAUUUCAUGAUGCUCACCGCCGUGCGUGAGUAAUUCCAUCGUAGGCUUGCUGGACGGUGAUGGGUUGGAUGAGAUUUAUCAUGUAAUCGAGUUAGUUUUGUUAGGGUUUGAUCCCUAGUAUCCAUUAUGUUCUGAGAUUGAUGUUGCUAUGACUUUGCUAUGCUUAAUGCUUGUCACUAGGGCCCGAGUGCCAUGAUUUCAGAUCUGAACCUAUUAUGUUUUCAUGAAUAUAUGUGUGUUCUUGAUCCUAUCUUGCAAGUCUAUAGUCACCUACUAUGUGUUAUGAUCUGGCAACCCCGAAGUGACAAUAAUCGGGACCACUCCCGGUGAUGACCAUAGUUUGAGGAGUUCAUGUAUUCACUAUGUGCUAAUGCUUUGUUCCGGUUCUCUAUUAAAAGGAGGCCUUAAUAUCCCUUAGUUUCCAAUAGGACCCCGCUGCCAUGGGAGGGUAGGACAAAAGAUGUCAUGCAAGUUCUUUUUCAUAAGCACGUAUGACUAUAUACGGAAUACAUGCCUACAUUACAUUGAUGAACUGGAGCUAGUUCUGUGUCAUCCUAUGUUAUGACUGUUACAUGACGAACCGCAUCCGGCAUAAUUAUCCAUCACUAAUCCGGUGCCUACGAGUUUUCCAUAUACUGGUUCUUGCUUAUUUAUUUUUCCGUUGCUACUGUUACAAUCACUACAAAAUACCAAAAACAUUACUUUUGCUGUCUUUACUUUUGUUACCGUUACCACCACUAUCAUAUUACUUUGCUACUAAACACUUUGCUGCAGAUACUAAGUUUCCAGGUGUGGUUGAAUUGACAACUCAGUUGCUAAUACUUGAGAAUAUUCUUUGGCUCCCCUUGUGUUGAAUCAAUAAAUUUGGGUUGAAUACUCUACCCUCGAAAACUGUUGCGAUCCCCUAUACUUGUGGGUUAUCACGGGGCACGUAAGCCCCCGAGGCCACCGCCUCGAAGACUUUGCCAUAGUGCUCCAUGCUCCAUGUGGCCUGGCCUAGCGCGCCGUCUUGAGGAUGGUAGGGCAGCGUCCCGCCCGGGCCGUAGGCGGCUAUGCGCAUGCCCUCGUUCAUCGGAGGUGGUGCUGGUGAAGCCUGACGUCCGGCACCGAUGGUUGAGCUGGUGUCGACGAUGCCUUGGGGUGUGCCUGAGGGCGGGCGGGCGCGGAGAGGCCCGUUGUGUGAUCCUCCCGGGGCCCAGGGUGGAAGCUGGAAGUAGAAAGGCGGCGCCCCCGAGGCCGCGACAUCUAGGAGCUCGGCAACGCGCUCUAGCAGCCCAUCUCGGCCGCUCUCCAUCAACCUGCACCGCAGUAGCUCCCGAGCCACGGUGAGUGCGGCCCUCAUGUUUGCUUGCUCCCAUCGAGUGUGCGGCGUCGUGGCCGCGGUGUGGCUUGAGGCCCUUGCAGCGACCCGCACCUGCCACGGAGUAAGGGCGGGCGGCGCGAGACCGCGCCGCCCUCGCCCCGCAGCGUUCUGUGGUGCACGAGCUUCCUGAGGCGCAGGGUUGAGAUCACCUUGGGCAGGCGGCGUGGCACGGAUUGGCCAUGCCACCCAGCGGUCGGUGUUGGUCGUCGGGUUGACGGACAUGGAUGCGGCGAAGCAGUGGAACGCAGAUCGGCGGAAGGAAGACUCCGGCGCACCCCUACCUGGCGCGCCAAAUGUCGGAUAUUGGGUUCCAGCAAAAUCCUUAAGGUUCGAACACUGGGGUGCACACGAAGAUUUCCUCCUACCAAAUCUCGCUCUCAGCCUCGCCACGAUCCCUAAGCUAGAUCGAUGAACUCACAGCACAAGAGACACAAGAUUUAUACAGGUUCGGGCCACCGUUGUGGUGUAAUACCCUACUCCUGUGUGUGGUGGUGGAUUGCCUCCUGGGCUGAUGAUGAACAGUACAGGGGAAGAACAGCCUCGCGAGGAGAGGUGUUCUUGAGGUGGUGUGGUGCGCGGAUGAACUUCACUUGUCCGGAUUCGAUCCGUCUCUAGAUGAGAUGCCUUGCUACUGUGGUGGCUAGCCCUAUUUAUAGAGGCCCUGGUACUCUUUCCAAAUAUUGAGCGGGAAGGGAUCCAACAGGGGCCAUUUUGAAAGGGGACAGCCAGUACAGGCUAUCUUGACUAAAGGUGGUCUUCGCCUGCCAAAGGCGCUGGUGGUGACGCCGUCUUGCGCUCCAUGGUGACCUCCGUCCUACUGUCCUACUAGUCUUGGUCUUGUUGCACUGAUAUGAAACCUUUUCCUGAUGCCUCAGUACUCCGCGCCUGCACUUGCCCCCUUUGCACCAAAGAGGAAACAAGGACACUGCGCGGGCUGGCCCCAGCCUGGUGCCCGCCUAGUCUUGAUCGUCAUGGCUUGCAUCACGGGAACCUCAUGAGGUACCCCUUGCCUUGAUCUCUCCUCCUCCUCGCGAGCCCGCCUGGUGAGGCCACUCCUGAGGAGGCCUUGCAUCGUCCGCCCCGCGAGGCUUGGCCCCUCGUGAGGGUCUUGAGUGUUGGUUGAUGAAGACGAGCCUUACUGGGCCACUGGUGGAGCCACGCAGUAGGUCGCAGGCAGGCAAGUCUAGGGACCCCCGUUCCAGAACGCCGACACUCAGGUCCAAGUUAAGUCCUCGGACUUAGAAGCUGGUGUGGAAGAAAUAACUCGCCUACAAAGCUGAAGAUCAAAAUACAAAGCUGCUCCAUGGAAGGCAGUGUCCUCAGCUUAAGACCAGUUCAGGGGCUACUGAUGGUGUCCCGGAUUAGGAGGUGCACACCAUGUCGUCCCGCCAUUCAUGGGCUGACUAAGGAGCCACCGACAAUGGAAGAGUGGGCCACACAAGCCGUGACCUUCGGCAUACUCAAGAUGGAAUCCUCCAAAGACUUGGCAUACACUUCAAGGCAUAUUCAAAUGAUCGGCAUGUUAUCCCUAGUUGUAACUGACAUACUUGUAAUCCUAGAUAUCCUCGGUGCCUAUAUAGGCCAAGGGGUUUAGACCGUAGAAGCAAGGUUUUUAGAGGUCAGACUCAUUCAUGUGAUCUCGAGGUAGAUCAUCAUGUACUUUGUACCCCAUCCACAAUCAAUACAAUACAAGCAUGGUGUAGGGUUUUACCUCUUUGAGAGGGCCCAAACCUGAAUAAAUUGUGUCCAUGUUACUUCUUGUUACCAUCGUGCCAAGAUCACCAGCUUGGGAGCCCCUACCCGAUAUCCACCGAUUUUAGCACCGACAACGAGGUUGCUGAUAAUUGCAAUUGGGAUUGGGGCGGUCGAGCUGGGCGUCGUAAUAAUGGUACGUGAGCUGGUGUUGACGGAAGCAGAGAGUGAGAGAGAGACCGACGUAGGGAGAAGGAGAGUAUACAUGGGUUGUGAUACCAAAUCGGAACAAUUAUUUACCGUCACUAAUCCAUCAGCCUCAUUCAUUGUAUACACUGAGAGAGAGAGAAAGGAAGAGAGAGAGAGAGAGAGAGAGAGAGAGAGAGAGAGAUUUGUUAAGGUUACAACAAUGUGUCAGAGCAGAUAUGGCACGGUAUCAUUCGACAAAAUACAACUAACCAAAACCUUACUACUAAUUUGAUUAGGAUAAGCAUGUUUGGCAUGCUUUGCUGCCGAAUGUGUACUAAUUCUUGUUACUGUAACGAUCGUGCUUACUCUCAUUAUUUUCAUGCGGGCUCGAUGCCAAUCGUUCACAUGCAUCCCUAGUAUCAUGUGAAUGGGGGCAUGAAAUAGCGUCCUCCUUUUCCUAUCAGCUCGUGGGGUAGAGGGGAGUGAAAACUCUAUAUCUCAUAUGCCUCCCUCCUUCUUUCAUUCUUCUCCUUGCCACCUCAUGAGGCUUCUGUCGAUGGAAGUCACGCAGUUGCUAAUGAAGGAGGCAGGGCUUUUCCGAUGGUGGAGGUAGUCGGCCAACACUUGGAGGGCAGUGAUCUUAUACGCCGCAUGGGUAGCGGGCGACGUCCGACCACAUCUUGUCGGCUUGGCCUGUGUGUGCUGGAUCCAAUGUGAUCUAGCAUGUGUAGCCCUAGGCGGGCUAAUCUGGCCCAGGCUAUGACAUUAGUGUGGCGUUGGUGCAUGGAGCACAUAUGUAUAGGUAGACGAGCAUCACUUGCAUGGCUCACCCAUCGCCCGGAUCUACGACCAAGUGGCUUGUAGUGUUCGGGCGGUGUGUCUGGUGCGGAGGUUGCUAGAAACUGGUGUGACACACUUGACCAUCACAAAUAAGGUGGUGUCCCUGCAAAAAAAGGUGAUGCGUCAGAAGCAGUGUGAUAAAAUCAUCUCUUUCGGUAAAUUCUCCAUAGGCCAACUAAUUAUAUGUGACCGGUAUAGAUGUCAAUAACAACACUGGCGACCAGACACCAUCGACGUCCGCAUGCCGUUUCCUUGUUGAAGGUGUUGGUUCCAAGUUUUGCUUCAAGGGAGAUAGCUCUAGUUUGAUCUAAAGUCAUAUCUGCCAACAUGUGCAUGGGGGUUGUGUUUCCAUUUUUACGCCAUUGUCUUGGAGCGUUCCAACCUUUUGUCAGCUCACAUGUCACUAGUGGAUUGUGGUCCACGGUGAUAAGCUUUGUGGUAAGAUCUUGAAGAUGUAGUCACGAGACCGGUUCCAUGUAGAUGAUCUCGAAAAUUGUUAUGUAAACUGAUUUGUUAAAAUUUGGCUGGAAAAACAAGGGCAAGCCUAUUAUUUAGGGAAGACCAUUUCUAAUUACACAUGGCUGUCAUCGAUGUGAAAGAUGGUAAGCUUACGCUUCUAUUUGGUGAAGAGAAAGCAUCAAUUGACAUGAGGCAACUCACCUUCCUCACUAUUCAUGCGAGCUAUCCUGCAUUUCCGGGGGGAAACACUAAAUUUGAUGAGCAAAGUUUAGAAAUGUAAAGCAUGAACAGAAAUUAACAGUGGGACCUGCACAAUAGUGACUGCUGACUGCUAAUGAUUAAUCCCUUCCGUCCAUAUCUUAUGACGUGCUUAUCCCUAAACCUCUCGCACGCAUUGCUACAGGCGACGGGAAAUGAACGGAUAAACCCUUUACAUCCGAGGGGUACUUGUGCAAAGCUUUUGUAGUACAAUAACAGCUCCGUUUCAGUUGACAAUACUAGAGCUACAGGCUAGAGUUGAGAUUAGGUGGAAAAGGAGUUCCAGAUAUCCAGCAAACCACGGUGGCGUUCGUAAGCAGAGCACGUCUAUUUCUCAGUUUGGAAAGCAGGGCAGGUUUGGGACACCACUCACUCCUUUAAUCUGGACCGUAUUUUGCUCUGCGUGUGCAGCAAGGACCCUUCUUUUCCUAAGAAGAAAACCAGAAAAUUCAGUAACCAUGCGUUGUCAUUUCAUGAUCGGUAUGUGACUGCAAUAAUAUGCUAGCUAGAGGAAAAGAAUUGGGGAGUACCUAGAACUCAUCUAGAUAAGAUAUAAUUUGGUCUCAUUCACUUUGAAAACAAGAACAGAUACAACACACGUCAGCACACACGCAUCUUAUAGCAUCACAUCCGAUGGCUAUAAAAGGUGAAUGAGACCAAAUUAUAUCUCAUCUAGAUAAGUUCUAGCAAAACUGAAAGAAUUGUGCACCAAGUAAGGGCUCCGAGUCGGAUGGAGAUUCCAAAUGAAAUCAAUAGGAGACACGCUGACACGGGAGAGGCAGGCAGGCAACCAACAGCCCACGCCACAGCCAAUGGUAUCAUGUGCGGGAGCAUCAAAUCAAAUCCACUUCAAAACUCGUAGGUGCGCCUAGAACAUCAUACGCCCGCCACCGGCUCCUGUAGCCACUUAAAACAUACGUCUGUCAAAUCCUCAUCCGCCUGAUCGGCUAGCUGGCUAGCCCCGUUUGCGGAAUUAAUUAAUUAGUACUUGAAAAUUCCUUGGAAUAAAUUAGACUCUGAACGUUAUCAUCUGGAGCAGUAUAUCGUUGUAUCAAUUCACACUCAAGUGCUAGUACUACUUAUCUCCACUGUGGGUUACACAGGGACGACCAGAGAGUUGCUCGCGCAGGACAUCCGUUGGGUUCGGCGAGAUAUACGUAUCCACAGAAACACACGGAUGAUACCUACUGCGGCGCGCGUGGAUAAGGCGCAGCCGAAUUAGUUGACAAAAUAAUCCAAGUACUCCAUAUAGGUAGAUUUGGGAGCAAUAAAGGAAGAAAAUGGUAUGGGCAGGAUCGUCCACAUCAUCCCUAGGGCGUGCGUCCCUCUCUCGAGCCCGUGCCGCUCCGAGCACGCGCGAAUCGCGGGGGAGCUCCUGACACCCAUCUAGGCCACCCGUUGCGGACACGUGUCCGGCUGAUGUCUAUUUACGAGCUCAUGUACCAUGUCCAUGUCCAUGUGAUUCUUUUCUUAUUUGAAUUCUAUAGUGGGAUGUGAUUAAUUGUGUUCCCGACUAAUACAUGUAUCUUGGAGCUAGUGUGGACAUUUCAAAAAGUAUAGGAAUACUUCGGUCUCGCCGAUAUAUUUCAUAUUAUUUUGGACAAAUUUCGUCAAGUUUUGACGAAAUUUUGAACCCUACAAUAUAGUUCUACUUACGCACACAUGUGUGUGCGUAUCAAAUGCAUGAUGAAUCGACGAAGAGAGAGCGUUUACAUCUGCCCCCCUUCCAUCGUAAAUCAUACACAUACACUACUAUAGCAAACCACUACUAUCGCGUACGCGUCUGAGCUGCCUCAGCGGUCGCACCCCAACCCAAGCCCUGUACAAUACAUAAUGUGCACAUACGUACGGCAUACACGCUCUUAUACGCGUGUACGCGCGCGUACGGACGGACAUACGGACACUAGCUACGCAUACGCAGCUAGCUCAUCAG